rnacentral:lncRNA from 1 species
GAAGGUUAACUUGAUUAUGUUAAAUCAGUAAAAAUUUAUUAGGUUUUUAAGAAGGGAAUUCUGAAGGAAGAAAAAAAAGGGAAACAUAAGGAAAUUGUUAUUAUUAACUAUAAAGAAAAUAGUUAUCUUACACUUUCAAAUAAAAUAACAUUACAAAAUGGGGAAAGCACGAAACUAAAGGUAGCCCAUGAUAACCAAACAUGGUAAAAGGGCCACAAAGCAGAUUAAAUUAAAAGAUGCAAAUUCAAGCCUCAUGUCACGCAAACAAAUUAAUUAGGAGAAAAUGGAACUUUUUCCUCAAUUCACUUGACAUGAACAAUACUUUUCACAUAAAUAAGAACUUCAAAAUCCACAACCCUAUUGAGAAUAGGAGGAAUAUGAAGAUACUUGAGAUUUCUAGUACUAUAAUUAUAAGAGGUGGCUCUUCCAUCGGAAUCAAGCAUAAGAAGCUCAUCACUUCUCCAAAAUGUCAGGGGCUUCUUAAUGCCUUGUAAGGGUCCAAUGUUUAAAAGUUUUGUCCAUGAACUUUUAUCACCGUCAUAGUCAUCCAUUACCCAUAUUUCACAUGAUUCAGAAUCCUCACUCCUAUCAUAACGAGAGCAAAAAGAAGCAAGGGAUUCAUUUCGUAGAAAAAUAUAAUAAAACCUAAAACCGGAUUCUCUCCUAGAAGGCAGUUGUAUUAUAUGAAAUGUGUCAUCACCUAAAUCAAAAGAAAGUAUGUAUUCCUCGCCAUCUGUUGCAUACCAAUAACAAAAUCCCUUCAUGAACACUGAACGAGAACAAGAAUAGGUUGUACUUGAUAUAUCAAUCUUGAUCUCUUUCCAAGAAUUAGCAGUUGUGGUGUAUAACUCAGCCGUGUGAGGAAGAGCAAUACGAUAAUAAUAUGUUCGUUCAUCAUCUGAAUACUCACAAUUUUCUAUAAUUCGCACAACCUUGUAUUCUUUAGCAUUGCAAUCAUAUCCAAAUCCCAAAGCUUGAAAGUUAGUUUCCAAUUCGAAUUUUCUCUCAGGAGGGGAAGGUAGAAGAAGGCAUGAAUCGGGAAGUUGCUUGAAUUCCCUCGUUGCAGGAUUGCAUAAAAGAACAUUUUUCCCAGCUUCUACACAGAGUAUCCCAUUGCAAUAACCAAAAAUCAGUACAAAAUCAUGAUCUUUCAAUGCAAACGGUAUAUUUAGGUCCUCAACAUCGUAAUGAAGGUUGUUCUCAUCACUAUCAAUGGAAAAAUUAAUCAUGGACCAGAAAACUUCUUGUUUCCAACUCUGGUCUGGGAAAAUGUGAGCCUGAGAACGGUUGAGAAGGAUACAAGUGGAGGAUGAGAGUUUGUUGUCCACGGAAUUGCUGAGGUGUUUGGCCACAAAACUUAGAUUGUUGAUGAGAGAGAACCAAGACUUGUGUAUGCAUUUGAACCGCAUCAGAGACUUGGGCGGUAACCUGGAUAAGAUUUCAACUACCCUAUCUUCAGGAGUUUCACUUUCACGCACAUGGGACAUUUCAAUAAUUUUGUUUGCAGGAUAGAACACAACCAGUUUGAGAACCAAACUAAAUGAAACUCAAAGUCCCUAAGGCCUGGUAGAUUGAGGUUCAAUUACUAAACAUAUUACCUCAUAAGAUGCCAAAAUUCAACAGUACUAAAUAAACUUGGAAUUCUACAACCACAACAUAUAGCUAUCAAAUAAAACAGGGUUGAUCUAGAGUUGGUGGCUUUUUUAGUUUUCCAAACAAAAUAGGGGUGAUUAAAUCAGUUUCGAGUUUAAUGGAGAAUCAUACGUUCAAAUUUUACUAUUUUUAAUUUCUUAUUGAUACAAAAAAAAAAAAAAAAAAAAAAAAAAAAAAAAAAAAAAAAAACCAUUCAAAUUUCACCUUUUAAUUCUACAUUUAAUUAACUAAGAAAGGAAAAUUCACAUAUUCAUACACGAGUUUUAAUUAAUAGAAAACUCCAUUCAAAUCCUUGUAAAAUAUGACUUUUAGGCUAAAACCUUGUUCUAAAAGAUUAAAAUCUAAUUUUAGUCAUUUGAUAUAUUUAAUCAGAUCAAUUGUUUAAUUAUGUUUUGAUGUUUAUUGCUAUUUUUUACAAUGCACUUUGGUACAAACAUUUUAAUAUAUUAAUUCCUUAUAAUAUAGUUUGGUACACACAUUUAGGACCAUCAAUUCAUUUUAAUAUAUUUUCAGUACACUUAUGUAUUUACAUUUUUUUUUCUUAUGUGUCACUUUUUAGUGUUUUCUUAUUUUGGUACAUUUAUCUCAUUCGUCCCAAAUUUAAUCAUUUUAUUUCCUGACACUAGAAAAUUUCAAAAAGCCCAUUAUGGGCUAAGUAGAAAUCCUACAUCUGAGACAUUGUCGCUCUUUGUCCAUUUUCUUGUCCUUCAAGUUAGUACAUGUCCGUAUGAAGAUGUCAGUGAACGAGACGUAAAUCAUACGUAAAGUCAACAAUUUAAGCACAUUUCUUAAUGAGGGGCAAAAUGAUAAUUUUGCAUUAUCGAGAAUCCAUGAUUUGUAUCUUGAGAUAAUUGUGGGUGUCGGUAUUGCAGGCUACAAACUGUGAUAUUAGUAUUUUAUUGUUUAGGGCCGGUUCUGUUAGUACUUUAUUAUUUAGGCCUCAUGCCUAAUUAAAUAUCUUGGUUUGACACAAAGACACACUCACAUAUUUUCUAGGACCCAUGACUACAAUCGCGUCGGCGCUAGCAAAACAUAAAGGGCAAUAUCAUAAAUUUACUUGUCUAUGCGUUGUCACUUUAUUAACUGAAAAUAUGACUUUAACCCUUGAAACUCUUUUUUUUCCACAUAAAAUCCGACAAAAGUUAUUUGCUUGACUAAAACCCAUUGACUAGUCUCCAAAUAAGCAAAUUUAUUAAUUAUGUUUGACUUUACCCAUUUAAAAUUUUUCGGAUGCCUAACAUACCCUCAUUUAAAUGUUUAACGUACACAAUUAAUUCUACGAAAAUUGUUAGGGAGAAUUAAUGAUUUUACAAAAAUAAUAUUUUACAUAUAAAUGUAGGGAUUUGUUGGUUUGGAUCCGUGAUAAUAUCAAUUUGAUAAUCAAUUUCCAUAGUGAGGGUGCGGUGGUGUGCCACACAAUCUCCCAUUCCCCAUUUUUUUUUUCAAAUCCCUUAGGGUUUAGGAAACCCAAAUUUGCUUCUAAUUUAAUUUGAUACUUUGACUCACAAAUUCCACAUAACAAUUUAAUUGUGUGAUGCAUGAAACAAAUAUAUAUAUUGACAAAUAUAUGAACAUAUACAAUAUAUAUAUAUAUAUAAAGGAAAGUAUAAACAUAGAGGGGUUCAUGCAUUAUGGGGAAUGUUUUCAUGCUUCGUGGACGUUUCAAAUAUCUUCUUUUAUUUUAAACGUACCUGAUUAGCAGAAAACGAUAAGCCUUUGAAUUUGGUGGAUGAUAGCAUCCUCCAACGAUGCGUCAAUUCCUCAGCUUCUGGCAAAAGCGUGCUGAUAACGUGUUGUAGGCCUAUUUGAUUGAACAAUCUAGGGUUUAGAGAGAGGGGACCGACCACUAUUAGAGAGAAGAGAUAUUGAUUUAAUUCUGAGGUGUGUUUGAUUCACCCCAUUAUUCCUUUAUUUAUAGUAGUAGGAAGGGUAAAACCUUUCCCUUUAGGAUUACAACAUUUAAUAGGUAAUCUAAUCCUAAUAGGAUAUAAGAUACAUUCCCAUAUUCCUUAGGAUUUACACAAUCACAUUCCUAUUCUAAAUAUGACUGCAACAAUAAAAAAAUUGUUGUCAAAGUAAAAAUAUAUAAAUUAAUGGAGAUAAAAUUGUAGGUAAAUUAAUUUUAGGACAAAGAAAAAGAAAAGAACCAACUAUAGGUGAAUUAUUUACAUAUAUAGUGUAGAAUAUUUGGUUCACAUAAAAAAUGUAGGUAAAUAGGUAUCACAUACAUAAUUUACCUACUUCCAUAAUUUACCUACUUUCUAUUAAUUUACCUACUUGCAUUAUAGGUCAAAUACCAACAAAAUAUGAGAAUAUUAUUUGCAUAUAUCAUACGUAAAUUGCCAAAAGAAAUAUGAGAAUAUUUUGUGUAUAUACUGUAGGUAAAUAACCUACUAUAGGACAAUAGAAUUUGUAUAGGUAAAUUAGUAGAGAUGUUUUACUAUUAUAUAUAAGGAGAAUAAUUUACCAUGAAUAACAAUGUAGUCAUGAUUAAGGUAAUGCACUAGAUUGUUGUAGAAAUUAAAAAAAUAAAUAAAUAAAUGGACAUGAUGAUUAAUCAGAUUUUAAGGCCCUUGAUUGAAGCUAAAAUUCAAGUGUGAGAAACAGUAGGCCUGGCAAACGAGUCGUGUCUAUCAUAUUUGUGUCGUUUUCAUGUAACACAUGUUAUCUUAACAGGUCGUGUCGUGUCACACCUGUUAAGAAAAAAAAAAAAAAUUUCUUAAAUUUGCACAUACCACACAUUGCCACAUAAAUAUUACUUCAAACCAUUAAAACACAUUUGUAGUUUAAAUACUACAUCUACACUCGAAAAUAAGAGUCUAAUAAAUAAACAUUCAUACACUACUAGUCUAUUACAAAAUAUUAAAUGUGCAAGAUAUGCAAAAUGAAAGAGUUUUGGAUUUCAACAUUGUGAAGUCUUUCUCAAAAGUUUAAACCUUGUCAAUGGAACUCAAAGCUUGCAUGUUAUUCCUUUUGCAAAAUCCUCAAUUUUCAUUGAUCAUCCACUAGUGUAAAUAUUUUAAAUUGAAGAUCGAAUUCAUUCAUUGUAUUCAUAUAAGGUCAAGGAGUGUAGCUAUAAAAAAUCAUCAAAAUCGGAGUUCAAAUAACCGUUAAAUCGUGAUUUAGCGUUGAUAACUGUUGAAAAGUUUUGUCCCAUUACUUGAUCUUUGAAAGUUUGUUUUUUGUGAUUUUUGGUGUAUGUGAUCUUGAAGCAUAUAAAAACAAGUUUGUCGGUUGGAUCGUUGAAAUUAGUUUCGUAGAAUGCAUAUCCCAUCAAAACGAUAGAUUCACUAACACUUAGAGUUUAUUUAUACGUUCAUUAAGUAUAACAUAACAUUUUAUGGUAUCCACUAAUGUAAAUAUUUUAAAUUGAAGAUCGAAUUCAUUCAUUGUAUUCAUAUAGGGUCAAGGUGUAGCUGUGAAAAAUCAUCAAAAUCAGAGUUAAAAUAACUGUUAAAUUGUGAUUUUUCGUUUAUAACCGUCAAAAAGUUUUGUCUCGUUACUUGAUCUCUGAAUGUUUGUUUUUUGCAAUUUUUGGCGUAUGCGAUCUCGAAGUAAUAUAAACAUGUUUGAUGGUUGGAUCAUUGAAACUAGUUUCGUAAAAUACGUAUCCCAUCAAAACAAUAGAUUCACUAACACUUAAGAGUUUAUUCAAACUUUCAUUAAGUAUAACAUAAGAUUAUGUGGUAUCCACUAUUGUAAAUAUUUUAAAUUGAAGAUCGAGUUCAUUCAUUGUAUUCAUAUAGGAUCAAGGAGUGUAGCUGUAAAAAAAAUCAUCAAAAUCGGAGUUAAAAUAACCGUUAAAUCAUGAUUUUUCGUUUAUAACUAUCGAAAAAUUUUGUCCUGUUACUUGAUCUCUGAAUUUUUUUUUUUUUUUUUUGCGAUUUUUAGCGUAUGCGAUCUCGAAGCAUAUACAAACAACUUUGACGGUUGGAUCAUUGAAAUUAGUUCGUAGAAUGCGUAUCUCAUCAAAACAAUAAAUUCACUAACACGAGUUUAUUCAUACAUUCAUUUAGUAUAAAUAAGAUUUUAUGGUAUCCACUAUUGUAAAUAUUUUAAAUUUAAGAUCGAGUUCAUUCAUUGUGUUCAUAUAGGGUCAAGGAGUAUAGCUGUAAAAAAUCAUCAAAAUCGAAGUUAAAAUAACCUUUAAAUCGUGAUUUUUCGUUGAUAACCGUCUAAAUGUUUUGUCCCGUUACUUGAUCUUUGAAUGUUUUUUUUGUUGCAAUUUUUGGCGUUUAAGAUCUCGAAGUAUAUACAAACAUGUUUGAUGGUUGGAUCGUUGAAACUAGUUUCGUAGAAUGCGUAUCCCAUCAAAACAUUAGAUUCACUAACAUUUAAGAGUUUAUUCAUACUUUCAUUAAGUAUAACAUAAGUGAUAGGAGCAUAUUUAUGCGCCUUAGUUAGUUAGUUCUUAUGCAUUUAUGUUGUGUUUUUUUAGUUAAGUUAGUCUUUUAAGCUAUUUUCAUGUGUUUUCAGGUUUUAGAGACAAAGUGAGCAAAAGGAAGCAAUUUGGAGCAUUUUGGAGCAAAAUUGGGCUAGAAUGGAGUUCAUGCAUAUGUAGCACAAGGGAUGGAUGAAUUUGAAGGAUUGAUGAAGCUAGGAAUGUGUUUUGAAGUUGAAGAAUUGAAGAUACAAAGUUUCCUAGUUGAAGUAGGAAAGGGCUUAAAUGAAGGAUUCCUAAAUAAAGAAGGAUUCCUAAUCAAUGUAGGAGUCCUAAUUGAAGAUGGAUUCCUAGACACAUGAAGUUUCCUACUCAAGCAAGGUUUCCUAUGUGAAGAAGAAGAGUUAAAGUCAAAGAAUCAGCUCAAGAGAAGGAAUCUUAUCCAAAACCUCAUCCAUAACCUUAUCUUAGCUUAUCUUAUCCAAACAAACCUUAUCCUAUCCUAUCUUAUCCUAAUCCUAAACUAUCCACAUUUCAGCCACUUAGGAGGGUUUCUAACUAGAUUAGGACACAUUAAAAUUGGUUUUUAGAAGCCCUUAUCCACUCCUACAAAGGUGCCAUACCUUAUCCCUUGUUUUUCUAGAAAUCAGCCACAAAACAACCUUUCUAGAAGACCUUAUCCCUUGUCCUACAAAAGUGACGCCCCAAACCUUUCUAGAACUUCUAGAAACCUGAUUAUUCCUUUCCCCCUUGGUCUCUAAAAGCCUUAGCCUUUUCCUUCAAGGAUUGUGUGUUAUUAUCCUAUACAAAUUAGGCCUUUAAAUCCUUUUCCUUUGCUACAUAGGGGCUGCGAAUUUCAGCCUAUAAAUACCAUCUUUUGCUGCACCAUUUAGUCACCAUCCUCUACCAUAUUUUCACUACACCAUUCACCCAAAUAUACCUCUUGUGCCGUGAGUUUGCAAAGGAGAAGAAGGAAGAACUCUUGGAGCCGUGCAUGCCAUUCAAAGAGCUUGGAUUGUGGAGCGUUUCUAGGUGUUUUCUAUCUUUGUUUUAAUGUUUAAAUUUAUUUAUCUUUGUUUAUUUGCGAGUAUGAGGAACUAAACCCCCUUGGCUAGGGGGGGAUUCGAAACCAUGUUUAUGCUUGCUAUAUGAUUUGAUUACUUCUAAUUGCGUUUCAUAAGUUGUGAGUUCAAUUUGCUUAUCUAUGUGAAUUAAAACUUAUUCUUGUAUGUUGAUUGAGGGUCGACACUUAGUUUGCAUGCAUGAAUUUGAUGCUAGGAUAUAAGGGAAUUUCACCUAAUCGUUAUGAACUUAUAUUCACAAGUAGUAAAGGUUGUUGAUCACAAUCGUGUUAAGUAAAUUCUUGGCAUAAGUUUCAUGCAAUCAUAGUAACAAGUGUUUCGUCAAUGCUUAUGGUUUUCAUAGAACUUAAUGAUUCUUGCUUGUAUCUCUAUUAUGCAAUCAUGUAGGGGACUUGUAGGGAAUGCUUUGGGUUGUCGUAUGCAAUUCAUCCAAUUCAAUAACUUAAGGAAAAUCUGAGGGUUAAUUUAAGCGGACCUAAUUAACUUGGGGCGUUGAGAAUUCAUGGUUUAUUGAAAAGCAAUUGGAAAUCGUUUUAUAUGCAAGUGUGACAUGUGUGGAGAUGAACCCCUUAGCUAGCCUUCCAUCCAUUCAAAUCAUCCAAAUUCGUUUUAAAAUAUGUUUUAGUUUACAAAGUUUUGUUUUGUUUUUAAAUUCGUCCAAAAUCAAUCCCCCUUUAGUUUUAAGUGUCAUAUUAGUUAAAAACCCAUUUAGUUUGUGUUUUUAGGUGUCUUGAGACAAGUUUAAACCAAUUUUCGUCCAAAUUCUUCCCUAGUGUCCAAAACUGCCCAGAAAGUGGUUUUAAGGCAGUUUUGAGUGUUUAUUUGCUGUUUUGAGUCUUUUGGUUUGUUUUAGUGUUUUAAAAUUUAGUUUUACAUUCUUGGAGUCUAGUUAGUGUUUUAAACUUGUUUUUACGUUUUUGAGUCAAGUCCAAGUGAUUUUGCAAUCCCUCCUAAUCCCUGGCCUAGAACGAUCCCUACUUACAUACUUGCUACAAUUGAUAAAAAGAGGGUUAAUUUGAGUGUCAACAUAAUUUUCACAUCAAUAAGAUCACUAGUGUAAAUAUUUUAAAUUGAAGAUCGAGUUAUUUCAUUAUAUUCAUAGAGGGUCAAAGAGUAGUUAUAAAAUCAUCAAAAUCGGAGUUAAAAUAACUGUUAAAUAUUGAUUUUUCUUUGAUAACCGUCAAAAAGUUUUGUCCCGUUGCUUGAUCUGAAUGUUUGUUUUGUGCAAUUUUUUGUUGAUGUGAUCUCGAAGCAUAUACAAACAAGUUUGACGGUUAGAUCAUUAAAAUUAGUUUUGUAGAAUUCGUAUCCCAUCAAGUUCAAUGAUAUAUAUAUAUAUAUAUAUAUAUAUAUAUAUUAAGUAGAUUUAAAUUUAUUUAUUUUUUACGUAUAACACUUAAGAAAUUGAAUGGUAUGUAUAUUUAAGCCGAUCCAACGGUCAUCAAUUUUUAAUAUUUAAUUUAAUAUAUAUAUAUAUAAUUAUUAUAAUUUUUAGGGGUAUAAAAUUGUUAAAUUAAUAUAUAUAAUUAUUAUAGUAUUUUUUUUAGGGUUAUAUAAUUUUUAAAUUAAUAUUUUACUUAUCGUGUAUCGUGUUACCCACGUGUAUACCCAAACCAACCCGUUAUCUUAACAGGUGUUUAUCGGGUUACCUGAUAACGACCCGAUUCGUUAUCGUGUCAACCCGAACACCUGUUAAUUUCGUGUCGUAUCGGGUUGGGUUAUCGAAUCGUAUCAGGAAUUGCCAGGCCUAAGAAACAAUGUAAAAUGGUGUGGCAAAAAUUGUAAAUAAUUUGUAAUAGUAGGUUACUUAUAUUCUCAUAUGGUAGUUUAAUUGACUUUUGGAUUUUUCUUGGAUGUUUAAUUAUAUGUGGGUUUAUAUUUAAAAAUCAUGACUUUUUAGGAUCAAUAUCUAAAGAACCCUUGAUUAAUACUUUGUUUGAUGGGUGCUUUGUGUCCCGUGGGACCCACCCACGUCGAACUUUUUCUCUUCUCUGUUUAACCCUUUUCGUGUACUCCGUCAUCAUUUCUCUUGUUCUCACUCUCUAAUCUUCUUUCAAAAUCUCCCUCUCACCCAACUUUUUAUUCCUGUCUCCUCAUUAUCACUCUUUACAACUCUCUAUUUUCUCUAUGUAAAGCACAGUGAAGCCGUGAAGCGGCGCCAAACCAAAGGGAACACUAGGGAUGGGCAACGGUUAUGGCAGUCGGAUAACCACGGUUAUUUACCCAUAACUGUUUAUGUUCAUACCCGCAUAACUGUUUACCCGUUGGAUAAUUACAUAAAUGGUUAUACCCAUAACCAUAACCGUUUAUAAACGAUUAUCCAUACCCAUAACCGUGUACCCAUUUAACCAUAACCAUUUACCCAUUUAACCAUAACCAUUUACUCAUUUACCUGUUUUUGAACCCAUUUAUCAUUUUUUUACCCAUUUACUUCUUUUUUCGCCCAUCUACAUUAUUUUUUUUAACAAGUUGAAAAUUACAAAAGAAAAUGUUGUCGUAAUUUUCAUUUUCUGAUAAUUAAACACCGUUAUAAGUACAUUUUAGCAUACAUUUCCCUAUUUUAAUCAUUUAAGUCCUCAUAUAAUUCCAAUAAUUGAAAUAAUAGUUUACAAACGAUAUUUUUCUGCUACACCUAAGCAAGUCUUUAAUUAUAAUCCAUAUGAUUAAAAAGCAAAGUUCUAAAAACAAAAAGUAAUCAUUAUCUUGAAUACUAGAAUUCAAAGCUCCAAAAUAUUCCGAAACUAAACACUUUCGAACACGUUCAAUCACAAAGUAUCAUUGACUCGUUGUCACCAAAAGAGGCCUACAAAAGAAAUGUAUAAUUGAAUUAGUGUGCAUAAAUUGAAUGAGUAUCAUCAAUAACUCCAAAGUAAAAAACAAAAAUAAAGAUUAGUUUUUACCACAUUCACAUCAGUAUCAUCAUCGAAUGAAGAAUCUUCAACAUGGGUAGAGUUUGAAUCUGGUUCAACAGUAAAAUUUAAAAUUAGGCUAAAAUAGUAAAUUUUUGAACAUAUACAUAAUUUAUAUGAAAUUUUACAGUAAGUACCUCGCAUCUGACCCCACAACCAGUCUCGAGAACACAUGAGUGCUUCCACUGUGCUUGAAUGAAGUCGGCUACGAUGUGGACUAAUAAUCCUACCACCAAUACUAAAUGAAGACUCUAAAGCUACUGUAGAUACAAGAAUAGCCAAAGUAUCUCGAGCUAUCUGAUGCAAAAUAGGAUAUUUAAUCCCAUUUGUCUUCCACAACGACAAUAUAUCAAAAUCUUGAGUCCUAGGCAAGACUUUCUCCCCCAAAUAUAGGUCUAAGUCAGAUUGUUCAUUACCAAUGGUAGAAUCCAUAACAAACUGGUCAUAAGAUGUUAAAGGAUCACCAACUCUGAAAUCACAUGACUGUAAUGGAAAAUCAGUUGAAGAAGAAUAUUCAGAAGACCGAAGCCCAGGUCUAUGCUUCAAUUCAUACUCUUUGACAAACUUAACAGCCAAGUCAAAGACUUUCUCAAUUUCCGAUGAAGCAUUCUCUUUAUAAAUAAGAGAAAAAUAAUACUCAAUCAAUUUCAUCUUGAACCUUAGAUCCAGAAUAGCUGCAAUUGCCAUAGCACCAUAAAUUUUAUGUCAAUACUUUUCAAACUUGAUUGACAUCUUUGUUGCCAUUAACUUAACUUCAACAUGGUCAAACUCAAGCCACUUACAGAUUGCAAUCCUAAUCUGAUACACAUUUGGAAAAUAAAGAUUUGAUGUGGGAUACUUGAUCCCAGAAAAUAACUCAGUCACUUGGUGAAAGAUCUCCAACUUUUCAGCAAUCAUGUUAGUCUUUGCCCCAUCUUCUUCACUUGGAACAUUUUUAUAUGAAGGCUCACACUGCUUUAAACGAGGAAAUACAUCUUUAUAUACCAAUGCAGUGGUAAGCAUCACAUACAUCGAGUUCCACUUAGUUUUACAAUCAAGGACUAACUUCCUAGAGAACUUAAUUUUCAUUUGUUGAGCUAUCUCAACAAAUUUUUCCUCUCUUUUUGUUGUCCAAGACCAAUAUGAAACACUAUUCCGAAUAGUCUCAAUACUAUCCCUAAUCACAUCCAAUCCAUCCUUAACUAUCAAAUUAAGUAUGUGAGCACAACAACGCAUAUGAAAUAAUUCUCCGUUUAACACAAGUGAAAGCUUGCAAUAUGUCAUUAUAUCCUUAAUCCACAUGUCAGUCGUGAUUGCAAUUUUACUCUUGUUCACUUGCAACAACUUCAUGGUCUCUCCCUUUUCACAUUCAAAUACUUUCAUAAUAUCCCUCUUGAUAGUACUUCUAGAAAUUAUCUUAAAUAAAGGUUGCAAUGAAUUGCAAAACCUCUUAAAACCCAAGUGGUCCACCAUAGAUAAAGGAUAAUCAUGUAAGAUAAUCAUAUAAGCUAGCUCUUUCGUAGCAUUACCUUCAUCAAAACUAUAUGCACCAUGUUUAACAGACUCAUCACCAGUUAUAACUGGACUCUUUUUCUUUGUCAUCAAUACAGGACAUGUUCUAACAUGUGAAAGUAAAGAUGAAGAUUAAUUGGUUCAAUAUCUUGGUUCUCGCUUUGAGUCUGCAUCUUGGAACUAGUUGAAACAGUUGGAUACAAGACUUUUUUAAGAUUUAAAGAUCUAAUCCACGUUCACAUCACUACUAGGUUCUAUGCAAUUAUUUUUUUUUUCCAAACAUGACCACACGAACAGGUACGAUAUGAUGUUACCUAUUACCGCAAUUUAUAAGGCCUGAAGGGCGCAAUUCCAUCUUGUUCCAAUUGUAAAGAUUGACAAAUAAUUCAUACGAAAAGAGUUCCUGCUAAAACAAAUACAAAUAAUCAAUUCACAAAUUAUAUUGCAGGUGGAAUAUUUUACACACGUAUUUGAUUUAUGCAGCAAUCUUACUAAUGUUAAUGUUUAAUCUCACAAAAUAGGCCCACAUUAAUUACAAAUACCAAGUUACCAAAUUUAUAAUCGGUGGAAUGAACCCUAUUGGCCCCUCCAAUUCAAUUUUGGUGGAAUGAUGAAUGCAAGCAAUAUAUAAUCGGUGGAAUGAACCCUAUUGGCCCCUCCAAUUCAAUUUUGGUGUCGGAAUUAAGAACUUUGAUGCCGAUAUUUUGUUUAUUUUCCUUGCUGUUAAUUUAUCUAGUAUAACUUCACCAUUGAACUUGACCCUAUGUUAAUGUUCUGUAUAUUUUGGUGCAACUGCAGGCUGUGAAAAAUCUAAAUUUAAUGGAUUACACUAAAAAUCAACCAACACUUUCCUUUUCCAUUAUGCAAAUUGAAGUACCUCAGAGAUUGGAGUAAAAAUCAACCAACACUUUCCUGUUCCAUUAUGCAAAAUUGUAAAUUAUGUAGAUAAUCGAAUUACUUCAAAGAUUAGCACUUCAAAGAUGAGAGUACAGCUAAACUAAAAAUCUCUCCAAAAAUUGAAUUACUUCAGACAUCUAAACUAAAAAUCAACCAACAUUUUUAAUAAAAUCAAGAAGUAUGAAAUUUUUUAAUAAAAUCAAGAACAAUGCCUAAUCAAGACUAGAUUUCACAAACCCAAAAUCUCAAACCCUAAAUUAAUUCCAAAAUUUACCUAAUUUGGGGGAUAAUCGAUGUACAGUGCCCUGAAAUCUGGAUGAAGAAGUCAAGGGAGAGAAAUUAGAGAGGUGAGCGGCGCAUGUGGCCAUAGCUCUACCUCUAUGCUGUGAAGGAAGGCUCUUCGACACAGUCAAGGUUUGAGGGAUGAGAAGUCGAAAGAGAGAAAUCAGAGGGUCUGUGUGAUGUGGGUGUGACCGGAUUCUGAGGUGAGAAGGUUGUCUUAGGUGAGGUCUAGUCAAAGUCGAGGGGUGGAGAGAGAGAGAGCGACGGAGAGAGAGAGUGAUGGAGUUGUGAGUUCUCUGAGGGUUUUUAAUUUUUUUUUUAAUUUUACAUAUAUUAAAUUAAAUAGGUAAAUGGAUACAUGUUAUAACGGCGAAUAUUACCCACCGAUGGAUACCCGUUAUAACCGCGCAUAAUACCCAUAACCGUCCAUUUAAAUUUCAUGGAUAAACAGUUAUACCCAUAACCGUUUAUUUGUCUAAACGGUUAUCCAUAACCAUAACCGUCAAUUUUAAAUGGGCGAGUCACCGCGAUUUCCAAUACCGAUGGGUAUUUUGUCCAUACUAAUCCCUGGCGAUGUAUCAAACCCAAAAACCCACCCUUGCUUGCCGAACUCAGCAACGGCCUCAUUGCUUUUUUUUGGGAAAUCACGACUUGAAGAUGUGAAUCUUGGGUUAGUUCAUUAUCUCUGAUGAUAAUCAUUAGAAUUUCACGUCAAAAUUCAUUGAAAUUUAUGGGAUUCCCAUCCAAAUCCCCAUGGUUCUCACACCAACCGAUAGUGAGGAUACCCCUUCAUCGCUGAAAUUGGUUCGUAGUCAAACCCACGGCCUUGCACCGCGGUCUCUAUCCCAAAACAUAGCCUUCUGAAGUGGCGGCGUUUGUCUUCUUCCUCGGCGACUACACCCAGUAAACGCUGGGUGUUUUGGAUCUUAGCCCGAGCCUACUUUGGGCUUGGUUCAUCCUUCCCACAUCGAGAAAGUUUCUCUUCUGGACUCUCAUGCAAUGACCCACUGCCCCUUUGCUUGGCCUGUAAACACCAGCUCGCCAGGGCUAUGGCGUCCCCUGCACAGUGAAGCAUUAGAUCCUUGCCCUGUGGGCUUCUGGAUCCUGCCUACUUAGUUAGGCUUACUUACUACAGUCCAGCUUGCCCAGCACCAACUCGUAGCCCAAUUUUUGGGCCUGGGCUUCACGAUUCACUUGUUUUAAGUCCCGUGUGGGCUUUGGCUCAACUUUGGACCAUCGAAUUUCAUCACCUUAUUUUUUUUAGGCAUUAUUUGUUAGGUUUAUAUUUUAUUGUCGAAUUUGAACAAAGUCGACUUUACCGUUUUAGAUAUCUUCAGAAGAAACUGCCUCAAGUGGGUUCAAGAUGUGAAGCUCCACCUCAUCGCUAAAAGCCUUAGAGCCACUAUUAAAGCUGAGACGGAUGUCCCGGUUGGCGAAGCUGAGAAAGCUAUUGCCAUUAUCUUCAUACAAAGACAUACAUGGUGCACUACAAACCAAGUACCUCCUUGAAGAAGGUCCAUAAUCUUUUUAAGUUGCUUUGGUGGAUCAUUUCAAUCGCUAAAGAUACAUCUUCUUGCCUGAAGCAAAACACGACUGGCAACAUUUGUGCUUCCAAGACUUUAAGUCCGUGAAUGAAUACAAUUUUGAAGUUUAUUGAAUUCGAUCACUUCUAAAAUCUUGUAACGAGGACUUGACUGAAGAGGAUCUCUUGGAGAAGACUUAUUCGACCUUCUUUGCGAUCAAUAUUGCCCUGCAACAAUGACAUCAGGCUUUGUAGUUCACUAAGUUUUCAGAUUUGAUCUCUGUUUUACUUUUUGCUAAAAAACUGAAUCAACUGUUGAUGAAGAAUCAUCAAGUUGAACCUACUAGCUCGACUGCUUUGCAUGAAGCACAAACUAGCAAGAAACGAAGCUUGAACCACCAUUCUAGGUGUGGUAGGCAUGACCAUAAGCCGCUCCACUAUGGUUAAUAGAGCGAGGCCCAUCCAAUAGAGGAAAUAGAGCCUUAAACUUCAAGAAUAAAGGCAAAGCACCUAACGCCAUGGAUGCAAAUAUGUGAUACUGUUAUGGUUCUUGUGUGUGCCGAGCUCUUCCUAAAGUUGUAGUUGAGUAACAUUCUUGUCUUUAGAAGUUUGAAUUAAACUUUGCUCAAAUGGUGGAACUAGAAGAUACAAAGAUGAAGGUUUUUGACUUUCAAGAGGCAUUUAUUCUUAUGGAAGAAUAGAUUCUUUGAUAUGGGCCCACAUACUGGCCGAAUUUUACCACUUAGGGUCGAAUUCUCUAAGUAGCCGAGUACACACAAACCCGCCCCCCUUUAUGUUUGGAUAAUUUGUUAGUGUUUGUUUUAAAUUUUAAUAUUAAGUUUUAUGGAUUAUUUUCUCGAAUGAUUAAUUUAAUGAAUGGAAUAUACUUUUUGAAUCUAUUUAUACUAGUGAGAAAUUCAAUUAAAUCAUUUUUAGAUAUGACUAGUGGGAAGUUGGUGGUCUGGCAGAAAGUGCAACCACACACACCAUUUUGGGUGAACACACCUAUUUUACUAAAUUCGUGCCGCAGAAUGCACCCUUGACAACCCUCUCAGGUCCAUCUAACAUAUUUGAAUAAUACAGACAUAACCGUAUAAUGUUGUCCAAUUAUACUAUAUUGACCAUUAAUGAGGCAUUUUACUCUCCACGUUCCGGGAGAACGUUGUUGAGUUUUAAAGACAUUUGAGGUAAUAAUUAUCACAUUGAAGCCUCUAUAGAAAACAUAAUUGAAUUUAUGUACGUCAAUUUCUAUGAAUAUGGUCAGAAGCAUAUUCUAGAAAAGAUGGAGCAUCUCCCGAGUGAUUUGUAUAUUACAACCAUCCACUUCAUAGUGAGCCAAUAUGUGGGCGGCCCUACCUCAAAGAUUGCACAUCAAAUUUUGUUUUGGCAUGAUUGUUUAGGACGCCUUGGACGAGUUGUGAUACGUCGUAUUCUCAAAUCUACUCAAGGGCAUUCCCUAGCACUGUGGUAUUAAAGAUUAAGACUCAUCUCAUUUAUGCUAUUAUGCCUAUGUGCCAUUUCCACCUUUGAAUUUCCCUCUGUCAUUUCCUCUCUCCAACAAACCAAACCUGGCUUCCAACGACUCUUUCUCUCUCAAAAUUUGCACUCAUAGCCGCCCCAAUUCUCCAAUUCCUCUGUACUGCUCAUUCAAUACCCCCAAACUUAGGUGUAGUUUGGGAUUGAGGUGAUUAAAAAAAAGUUGGGAUGAAAAAAAGCUAAUAGGGGUUUUGGUGUUUGGUAAACAUUCCAAAACAGCUUUAUUUCAAAGUUUCACGUGAAAAAAAGCCAAAAAGUGAAAGCUGCAUUUUGCAACUUCAAGAAGCCGCCUAUUAUCCAAAACACGGAGCUACAGUACCAAGUUAAUGAAUUUUUUCAAUUUGCCAAUACUGCCCCCUCCUUUCUCCUUCUCCUGAUUCCUACACUCUGCUCUCUCUCUUUCUCUCUCGCAAAACACGCCCCUGCACCUCUUCCUCCUCCUCCUUUUCCUUUCUCUCCGUCGAUCUCAGCGCCACACCGUCGUCGCCUUCCAAGUACCAGGUACUCAAUUUGCUUUCAAUUUUUACUGUAAUUAAUUAAUUUAAUUUUUAGGUUAGGGUUUGGUUGCUCUCUGAUGAUGAACCCAUUUUUUUUGGGUUUUCUGAAACAGGGUUUUGUGUGGCAACCAACGAACGAGCUUGAUCUCAUUGAUUAGGUAAACAUAACUCUUUCUCUCUCCCUCUCCAUCUCUCUCUCUCUCUCUCUCUCUCUCUCUCUCUCUUCCAUCGUUGUGGGAAUUUCAGUUUUGGUCUUUGAAUUAAUGUUCUAAUUUUGGGGUUUGAAUUAAUUCUCUAAAUUUCAGUUUUGGGGUUUGAAUUAAGGUUAUUAUCAUGAGAUCCAUGAAGCAAUUUCAGUUCUUAGGGUUUGAUUGGCAACGAUGGUGUUGCUCUGUUUGUUAUCAUGAGAUCCAUGAACCCAAAUCUCCUCCUCUUUUUCUGCCCUCUUUUAUUUCUUAUCAUUUUGUCUUACUUUUCUACCCUUGAUUAAGGUAGACGAAGACACAAGUCAGAGCUAUCAAUGCAUUCUCUUUGCUGCCGUCGCGCCGCUUUUUUUUUGGUAUUUUUUCGUUCUGGUUGUGAUUUUUUUUUGGCCAACUUUUUGCUUGAUUUAUUGACGAGAAAUUGGUUAAGUUUGGAUUAUGUUGAUGUGGUUAACAUUUCUUUGUUUGACAAGGGUUUCUAAUUUCUUAGAUAUGUGGGUUUAUAUUAGAAAGAUUUUUCAUUUAAACAUUGUGAGUGUAGAAAAUAUGUAGUAAUUAAUGAAAGAAGUUUAAACACACCAUAAUCAUUUAUAUAUAAUGAAUUAGUACAAUAUUUUACACUUUAUAGAAAUUUAUCCUAGAUAAUAAAUAUUAGCUUGCAAGCCUUGCAGACAUCUUAACGACCAUAUAAAUAUUACAGGAUGAAUAUGUAAUCACAAACUUAAGACCAACAGAUUGAUUGAUUGUUUUCAUGAGUGAUGAUAAAUGCGUUGCAAUCCAGUUUCCUCAAUUACAUAUCUAUAUAUAUAUAUAUAUAUAUAUAUAUAUAUAUAAAGUUACUGUUCUGGGCCUAAAUAUGUUGAACUUUCAGAAAUGGGCUGUCACUCAAUCAAGGAGACCUCACCAGCCCACAACACAUAUCCAAAAUGACGUCGUCAGGAUACAACCAAGUGAAACCCUAGGUCAUAAAAGCUCAAGGUUCUAAAAAACGCUAGGCGCUAGUCGGGCGGCGGACUGGCGCCUAGCGCCUAGGUGGCUAUGCGGGAUCUAGGCGGCCUAGACGGAUUUAGGUAAAUUUUUUAUAUAUUUUAUGAAUUAAUUAAAUUUACUAUAUCAAAUGUAAAUAAUUAUUGACGUUAUUUCUUAUAUAAUAACAUACAAAUGUGAAUGUUUUAUGUACAUAUAUAAUAUGUUUGUUUAUGAAAAUAAUUUAUAAAAAAUAUGAAAACCCCACAUAGUGGUGGUGGUUUUCAUUAUUAAAAAUAAAAACCAUCAGCCAUCCACCUCACCUCUUUCACAUCACCCGUCCAUCAGACUAAAAGAUGUUUGAAAUUUCUCUUUGGUAGCAGGCUUCUCGAUGUAUUCACAUGACCUCUUUCAUUAUUAAAUAAUUUAUAUAAUAUAUAUAUAUAUAUAUAUAAUAUAUUGGUAGUUGUCAUAAUUAAAACUGAGUUCAUGGUUUUCAAUUUUCAUAAAUUAAAACCAUCUUGGAUUUGAUAUUUCCAGUUAAACACCACAUAGAAAUGUUUUUUUUCUCUAUCUCUCUCUCCUUCUUCCCUCAUCUUCAUAGACAACUCUUUCUCCCUCAUCUUCACAUGCGACUCCAUCUUCACAGACGACUCUCUCUCUCUCUUCCCUUAUCUUCAUAGACGAGCUGCAGAAAAUCACCAGCAUCACUCUCUCUUCCUUGAGGUGUGAAGGGAAGAGAGAGAGUCAUCAUCUUCAUCUUUUCCGCUUCGCCAAACUCAGAAAAGGCAAGAAUGCAGAUCAGCUGUAUUCUUGAAAAAAACUGAAAUUCCUGGACCGUUCCUCCUCCCUUUCUCACCUCUCGGUGACCACCAUCAGGCAAAGGGAUCCAUCAAACGGUUUGAUUCAAACCCGAACGGGUUUUGGGAUCUGGAGAAAAUGGAUUUUUCAUUUCUGACGACGGAGGCACAUAUCUUGGGUUUGAGCCUGGAUUGAAGAGAGAGAUCUAGGCAGCUGCGACGAUGCGGCCUUGGCUGCCUUUGUGACGACGGAGCCACAACGAUUGUUUCGAUAAUAUCGAAUAUAUUGCGAUAUUAUCGAUAAUAUCGCGAUAUUUUGACGACAAUUAGGGGGAUACGUGGAAAAAUAUCGGUCUAUCUGAAAAACGAUAAUAUCGACUAUAUUUCGCGCUGAUAUUAUCGAUAUUUUAGUCAUUGGGUGCAGGGAGAUGAGCUCAAACUCACGCCAAGACCCAAAUUCAUGCCAUCGGGAAGGCCCAUGAGGUUUAGGGUUUAGGAGCGUGUGAAUAGUAAUAGGUGAAUACUAUAGUAGCGGGCCAUAAAAAUAAUACCCUGAGUUCGGUGUGUUUCAACUGUGCAUUCAAAUUUUUUCCCUCGGCACAGUCGGAAGUCUGUGCUGAUGCCUAAAUCAGCCAUGGCGUUUACCAUUGCUGCAUCAGUACUAGGACAAGUCAUUGGCUUCAGAGCAGAGCGGUACAGCGUCAAGGCUGUGGCUUCCAAAACAUUGCCUCUGACGACUGAAACCUCCGUUGGUUAGGUGAUAUUAUAGAAUAAAACCCCUAGAUAGGAAGAAUUGUAUUAACACUUAAAAAUUGGAUUUUGUCCAUUCAUUUGUUAUAAGAAAAACUAACGAAAAAUCCUGAAAAACUUUAGUUUUUAAUUAAAAUGACAAAAUAAAGGUGUAAGUAAAUAGUACCAGAAGUGACUUUUCAAGAUAAAAAUGUUCUCAACGUUAAAAGUGAANCCAAUUUUGGGCCUGGGCUUCACGAUUCACUUGUUUUAAGUCCCGUGUGGGCUUUGGCUCAACUUUGGACCAUCGAAUUUCAUCACCUUAUUUUUUUUAGGCAUUAUUUGUUAGGUUUAUAUUUUAUUGUCGAAUUUGAACAAAGUCGACUUUACCGUUUUAGAUAUCUUCAGAAGAAACUGCCUCAAGUGGGUUCAAGAUGUGAAGCUCCACCUCAUCGCUAAAAGCCUUAGAGCCACUAUUAAAGCUGAGACGGAUGUCCCGGUUGGCGAAGCUGAGAAAGCUAUUGCCAUUAUCUUCAUACAAAGACAUACAUGGUGCACUACAAACCAAGUACCUCCUUGAAGAAGGUCCAUAAUCUUUUUAAGUUGCUUUGGUGGAUCAUUUCAAUCGCUAAAGAUACAUCUUCUUGCCUGAAGCAAAACACGACUGGCAACAUUUGUGCUUCCAAGACUUUAAGUCCGUGAAUGAAUACAAUUUUGAAGUUUAUUGAAUUCGAUCACUUCUAAAAUCUUGUAACGAGGACUUGACUGAAGAGGAUCUCUUGGAGAAGACUUAUUCGACCUUCUUUGCGAUCAAUAUUGCCCUGCAACAAUGACAUCAGGCUUUGUAGUUCACUAAGUUUUCAGAUUUGAUCUCUGUUUUACUUUUUGCUAAAAAACUGAAUCAACUGUUGAUGAAGAAUCAUCAAGUUGAACCUACUAGCUCGACUGCUUUGCAUGAAGCACAAACUAGCAAGAAACGAAGCUUGAACCACCAUUCUAGGUGUGGUAGGCAUGACCAUAAGCCGCUCCACUAUGGUUAAUAGAGCGAGGCCCAUCCAAUAGAGGAAAUAGAGCCUUAAACUUCAAGAAUAAAGGCAAAGCACCUAACGCCAUGGAUGCAAAUAUGUGAUACUGUUAUGGUUCUUGUGUGUGCCGAGCUCUUCCUAAAGUUGUAGUUGAGUAACAUUCUUGUCUUUAGAAGUUUGAAUUAAACUUUGCUCAAAUGGUGGAACUAGAAGAUACAAAGAUGAAGGUUUUUGACUUUCAAGAGGCAUUUAUUCUUAUGGAAGAAUAGAUUCUUUGAUAUGGGCCCACAUACUGGCCGAAUUUUACCACUUAGGGUCGAAUUCUCUAAGUAGCCGAGUACACACAAACCCGCCCCCCUUUAUGUUUGGAUAAUUUGUUAGUGUUUGUUUUAAAUUUUAAUAUUAAGUUUUAUGGAUUAUUUUCUCGAAUGAUUAAUUUAAUGAAUGGAAUAUACUUUUUGAAUCUAUUUAUACUAGUGAGAAAUUCAAUUAAAUCAUUUUUAGAUAUGACUAGUGGGAAGUUGGUGGUCUGGCAGAAAGUGCAACCACACACACCAUUUUGGGUGAACACACCUAUUUUACUAAAUUCGUGCCGCAGAAUGCACCCUUGACAACCCUCUCAGGUCCAUCUAACAUAUUUGAAUAAUACAGACAUAACCGUAUAAUGUUGUCCAAUUAUACUAUAUUGACCAUUAAUGAGGCAUUUUACUCUCCACGUUCCGGGAGAACGUUGUUGAGUUUUAAAGACAUUUGAGGUAAUAAUUAUCACAUUGAAGCCUCUAUAGAAAACAUAAUUGAAUUUAUGUACGUCAAUUUCUAUGAAUAUGGUCAGAAGCAUAUUCUAGAAAAGAUGGAGCAUCUCCCGAGUGAUUUGUAUAUUACAACCAUCCACUUCAUAGUGAGCCAAUAUGUGGGCGGCCCUACCUCAAAGAUUGCACAUCAAAUUUUUGUUUUGGCAUGAUUGUUUAGGACGCCUUGGACGAGUUGUGAUACGUCGUAUUCUCAAAUCUACUCAAGGGCAUUCCCUAGCACUGUGGUAUUAAAGAUUAAGACUCAUCUCAUUUAUGCUAUUAUGCCUAUGUGCCAUUUCCACCUUUGAAUUUCCCUCUGUCCCUCUCUCUCUCAACAAACCAAACCUGGCUUCCAACGACUCUUUCUCUCUCAAAAUUUGCACUCAUAGCCGCCCCAAUUCUCCAAUUCCUCUGUACUGCUCAUUCAAUACCCCCAAACUUAGGUGUAGUUUGGGAUUGAGGUGAUUAAAAAAAAGUUGGGAUGAAAAAAAGCUAAUAGGGGUUUUGGUGUUUGGUAAACAUUCCAAAACAGCUUUAUUUCAAAGUUUCACGUGAAAAAAAAGCCAAAAAGUGAAAGCUGCAUUUUGCAACUUCAAGAAGCCGCCUAUUAUCCAAAACACGGAGCUACAGUACCAAGUUAAUGAAUUUUUUCAAUUUGCCAAUACUGCCCCCUCCUUUCUCCUUCUCCUGAUUCCUACACUCUGCUCUCUCUCUUUCUCUCUCGCAAAACACGCCCCUGCACCUCUUCCUCCUCCUCCUUUUCCUUUCUCUCCGUCGAUCUCAGCGCCACACCGUCGUCGCCUUCCAAGUACCAGGUACUCAAUUUGCUUUCAAUUUUUACUGUAAUUAAUUAAUUUAAUUUUUAGGUUAGGGUUUGGUUGCUCUCUGAUGAUGAACCCAUUUUUUUUGGGUUUUCUGAAACAGGGUUUUGUGUGGCAACCAACGAACGAGCUUGAUCUCAUUGAUUAGGUAAACAUAACUCUUUCUCUCUCCCUCUCCAUCUCUCUCUCUCUCUCUCUCUCUCUCUCUCUCUCUUCCAUCGUUGUGGGAAUUUCAGUUUUGGUCUUUGAAUUAAUGUUCUAAUUUUGGGGUUUGAAUUAAUUCUCUAAAUUUCAGUUUUGGGGUUUGAAUUAAGGUUAUUAUCAUGAGAUCCAUGAAGCAAUUUCAGUUCUUAGGGUUUGAUUGGCAACGAUGGUGUUGCUCUGUUUGUUAUCAUGAGAUCCAUGAACCCAAAUCUCCUCCUCUUUUUCUGCCCUCUUUUAUUUCUUAUCAUUUUGUCUUACUUUUCUACCCUUGAUUAAGGUAGACGAAGACACAAGUCAGAGCUAUCAAUGCAUUCUCUUUGCUGCCGUCGCGCCGCUUUUUUUUUGGUAUUUUUUCGUUCUGGUUGUGAUUUUUUUUUGGCCAACUUUUUGCUUGAUUUAUUGACGAGAAAUUGGUUAAGUUUGGAUUAUGUUGAUGUGGUUAACAUUUCUUUGUUUGACAAGGGUUUCUAAUUUCUUAGAUAUGUGGGUUUAUAUUAGAAAGAUUUUUCAUUUAAUCUUAACCCAUGUUUAGUCCUUGAUUUUUGAAACAAUGUUCUGCAGUAUUUGAAGUAAUUUUUCAUAUUUGAACUUUAACUAUUGGCCAAUUGUUAGCAUGGGAUGUAACUGUACAAGUAAUCAUCUGCAUGCAUUAAUAAUCUGUUUGUGUGUGUAGUCACUUUUUACAGGAUAGAGCCUUUUAAAAUAGCCUUUCACAGAUAAAAGAGCCUUCUCUGUCUCUUUAUCCAAUUUUAUUGUUGCCAAAGCCCUUCACAGAGAAAAGAUAAUCAGUCAAGCUUAUUUAUGUAAUCAUGUGGAGGCAAUCUAUCUCUUACGAAGAUUGAUGGAAAGAUAUAGAGAAGGGAAAAAGGAUUUACACAUGGUCUUUAUAGAUAUGGAAAAUGCGUAUGAUAGGUUCCCAAAAGACAUUCUCUGGAGGAUUUUAGAGAAGAAAGGAGUACGAGUAGCAUAUAUCCAAGCUAUAAAGGAUAUGUAUGAAGGAGCAAAGACUGUCGUAAGAACUCAUGAAGGACAAACCGAAAGCUUCCCCAUAACUGUAGGAUUACAUCAAGGCUCAUCCUUAAGUCCUUACCUUUUUGCGUUGGUAAUGGAUGAGUUAACAAGACAUAUUCAAGAUGAUAUUUCUUGGUGUAUGCUUUUCGCAGACGAUAUAGUGUUGAUAGAUGAAACUCAGGAAUGGGUAAAUGUGAAGCUUAACCUUUGGAGAGAAGUGUUGGAAUCUAAAGGUCUUCACCUAAGCCGAUCAAAGACAAAAUAUAUGGAGUGCAAGUUCAGUGCAAAUGGAGGCCAAAAUGAGUUAGGGGUAAGGAUCGGAGAUCAAGAAAUACCAAAGAGCGACUGCUUUCGCUACCUAGGAUCUAUCUUGCAAAAAAACGGAGAAUUAGAUGGAGAUCUCAACCAUAGAAUACAAGCUGGAUGGAUGAAGUGAAAGAGUGCAUCCGGCGUGUUGUGUGACCGUCGUAUGCCACUGAAGCUCAAGGGAAAAAUUUAUAGGACGGCAAUAAGGCUGGCGAUGCUGUAUGGCACAGAAUGUUGGACGGUGAAGUAUCAACACGUACAAAAAAUGGGUGUAACGGAGAUGAGGAUGCUUCGUUGGAUGUGUGGGCACACGAGAAAGGAUAAGAUUAGGAAUGAGGAUAUUUUGGAAGAGACUUUAAGAAAAGACUUAGGGUACUUGGAUCUAACAGAGGACAUGACACAUGACCGAGCACAAUGGCGUUCUAAGAUUCAUAUAGCCGACCCCACUCAGUGACUUGAAUUUUUCAAGUCUCCAACCGAGAAGUUUUCCUCACUCGAGAAAUUAAGGGAACACUACCUCAACCUACAUGUUUCACUCACAAAGCUUCAACAUACAAGCUUCAGCAAAAGAAAAAUUCAAAGAACUUAGUGAAGAAGGUUUUGGUGUAUUUAACACAGUACGUUGAAAUGAAGCAAAGCUUAUUUGCUGAUAUCUCCGAUAAGUUACAAAUAUGUACAUAUACAUAAGUCAAAAUAAACAAACAAGAGGGAGCCUUCACAAAGGUUGCUUAGGAUAAGUCUCAGCAGUCAGUAGAGCCCCAGAAAGAGAAGGCACCGGAGGGUGAUCGCUCGGAGCCUCAAUACUGGACAGAACCCUAGAAGGAAGAGGCAUUGGAGGCUGAUCAUUUGGAGCUUCAUUAUGCGGUACAGCCCCAGAAGACGAAGGCAAUAAAUGCCUUUGGAACAAACCCACAAACCUCUGAUGGUCUGAUCAAGUAAAAUCUGACCAUCAGAUUCUUUCACCUGGUCAAGCUUCCUCUUCAUGUUUGUAGCAUAGUAAUGUGCGAGCCUGUGGAAUUGUUUAUUCUCAUGCUUGAGCCCUCUAAUCUCCUGCUUAAGACUCAUCACUUCAGCCGCCAAUGAUUCAACUUGGCGGGUUCGAGCCAAUGAUUCAACCUGCACACUGAACACUAAGAGCCAGAGAAUCCUUAACAGCCAACUCAUCAGACCGUUUGGAAAGAAGUCUGUUAUCUUUGGGAGUGAGAAUGUUCCUGGCCACCACCACAGCGGUCAUAUCAUUCUUCAUCAUGGAAUCCUCAACGAUAAGAGGACCAGUAGGGGAUAAGAAGGAUGGGCGCCAUAUGUUGUCUGGAGAAGGCAUGCCUGCCUCUUCACCAAGGUUUAAGUCAAAACGACGGUCGGAAGGGCCAGACAUUUUCAAAGGUGUUGAAGAGAGAAGAGGUCAGACAAAUCAAGAUCUCAGAAGUGUAAGAAGAGAGCUUCUACUAGUGGAGAUUCAAGUGUGCUUUGGAACUUAAUGCCAGCCUCUAUAAAAAUCUGCACUCGACGGAGCUUCAGAAAUCGAAGAGGCGCCUGCUCAGAAAUCGAAGAGGCGUUUGCUUUCUUAAAAGCUGGGCUGCUCAGAGACCAUGAGGGCCGAUCUUAGAGAUCGAAGAAGCGUUUACUUUCUCAAAAGCUGGGCUGCUCAAAGACCACGAGGGCCGAUCUCAAAAAUCGAAGAAGCGCUUGCUUUCUCAAAAGCUGGGCUGCUCAGAGACCACGAGGGCCGAUCUCAGAAAUCGAAAAGGCACCUGCUUUCUCAGCCUUUUCAGCACCUGUCACAUGCACACUCAGCUUUGCAGAAAUUAUGGGCAAUCUGUCGAAGAUUUCUGGUGAAGUAGAAAGCACAUGAAGCUUACUAUUCAAUCAUCCACUUUCCACACGUAACAUCAGCUCAUGGGUACCACAGAUAACUUUGCCAAAGAUCUUUGACAAAGUUUAGACAAGUGAAGCUUGUAGCUCCCACUACAUCGCUAUGACCAAGAAGGGUAAAAGAAUAGCAAAGAAACAGCACUAACAAAGUUUAGACACAUAAAUUUUAAAGGUUUAGCUACCAUAUUAUUACCCACAAUGGUAAAGGAACAGCACCAUGGCUGGAAAAUUGGUAAGUCUCUGUGUGUCAACCUCUGUGCUCCGUGGCAAGGUAGACUAGCAAAAAUGCCCAACCUUUACUCACAUUCGAGAAAACACUCCCAACAAGAUUACUUGCUCCAAAAUCGAAGAGGCACCGCCCUCCGAAUCUCGAGAGCCAAACUCCCAACAUGAUUACUUUCUCAAAAAUCGAAGAGGCACCGUUCUCCGAAUCUCGAGAGCCAGAUCCCUGAUAGGAUCGCUUGUUCGAAAACUGAAGAGGGAUCGCUUUCUCAACUUCGAGAGCCAGAUCUCCUUGGAUAAAGCUUGUCUGUAAUCUUCACACGCAACAUUAGCUUUCCAGAUACCACAGACCACUUUUUCAAAGUGCUCUAACAGAGUUAAAACACGUGAAGUUGGCAGCUCCCACUACAGUGCUAUGACCAAGAAGGGUAAAGGAAUAGCAUUACUACUUGUUGUUAGGGAGACUCCUAUAUAUGUCGACCUCCAUCCUCAAUGGACAGGCAGACUUGCAAAAAUGCUCAACCCUUCCUCAUAUCUGAUAGGGCACUCCUAACGAAGCUUCUCGAAAUACUCAGCUUUCUUUCCCCCCGAUAAUACCUAUGCAAACAAACUACACUAGAGCAAUAAUAUCUCAUAUCAUCAGGGUUAAAAGCAAGAGUAUCUCAUAUCAUGCUUUUUCCCUAUCUUUUCCUUUGGCCUUGUUCUUACCUGCAAGAUAAGGAAAAAGAUAGCAAUCAGUCAGCACUUGGAAUCAAACGUCCAGUCAAGAACUGACUGCCUGGAACCCCUUACCUGAUUACUUACCUGGCAUUGCUCUCAAGUACUCAUCUUUAACAUCUUAUGCUUCCAGAGAAGAUACCACAUCUGCCUAAGGAACAGAUAGGGAAAGUGAGAAGGAUACAAGGAAGCAUGUGGAGACAAGCGUAACAUAACACGUGCCGAUACUUCCACUACUUUGUCAACAGCAAAAGUAUCCCAUAUCAGCAGGGUCGAACGUACUUUAGAUUUGAUGAACUUGUUUUAACCCUCAAAUUCUUUAGUCGGCCUUAUACUCUGGAGGUAACCAGAAAACCCUCCAGCCUAGUUCAAGAAUAAGCCUGUGAAAAGUUAAUUCUUCAAAAGCAAAAAUAUCUCAUAUCAUCUCUUCUCAUUUUCUUCUCUUUAUCCUUCAUGCUACCUGCAAGAUAAGGAGAAUGAGAACAAUCAGCCAGAACUCGAAAUCAAACUUCUGAUCUGGGACUGAUUGCUUGGAGCUCUGAUUGCUUACCUUGUCUGUCACCUCUUUCAGCAGAUCCCCUAGCUCGGCGACUUGGGGGAACUCCUACUACAUGGUUUGUAUCACGCUUGACCAAUCCUGAAACUACAAGUAAGAUUCAAGUAAAAUUGAUACAUUCCCUUGUGCAUCUCUACCAAUUAAAGAUAUCAUCCCUGGACGGAGGAAUAGUACUUUCAGAGAAGAUGCCACAUCUACCUAUGAGACAGAUAAGGCAAGUGAAGACGAUACCACAAUUCGGUACUUAGAAGUUUCGUGAUUACUCAGCGGCUUGGAUCUUGCAAGUCCCCAACCGAGGAGCUUCCCCUCCAACCAGGAGGCCAAUCAUAGAGCGACACGUGUCGACAUCAGAAGCCAAUCAUAGCGCGACACGUGUCAACAUCGAAAGCCAAUCACAACACGACACGUGUCAAUGUCAGAACAAGGUUAGAAACUCUCUUCUAUAAAAUGAGAUCAUUCAAAAUAUUUCCUAAUGCCAUUUGUAUUAAAUCAUUUACUUGUACCCACUAAAGGAGAGCUUGAACCUAUGUACUUGUGUAAACCCUUCACAAUUAAUGAGAACUCCUCUACUCCGUGGACGUAGCCAAUCUGGGUGAACCACGUACAUCUUGUGUUUGCUCUCCUGUCUCUAUCCUUUUACAUACUUAUCCACACUAAUGACCGGAGCAAUCUAGCGAAUGUCACAAACUUAAUACUUUCUAUUGUACCGAAGUCCUUACUGAUUUUAUGCAUCAACAAUCCUUAAGUCCUUACCUUUUUGCAUUGAUAAUGGAUGAGUUAACAGGACAUAUUCAAGAUGUUAUUACUUGGUGUAUGCUUUUCGCAGACGAUAUAAGGUUGAUAAAUGAAACUCAGGAAGGGGUAAAUGCGAAGCUUAACCUUUGGAGAGAAGUGUUAGAAUUUGAAGGUCUUCGCCUAAGCCGAUCAAAGACAGAAUAUAUGGAAUACAAGCGGGAUGGAUGAAGUGGAAAAGUGCAUCCAGCGUGUUGUGUGACCGUCGUAUGCCACUGAAGCUCAAGGGAAAAUUUUUAUAGGACGACAAUAAGGUCGGUGAUGCUGUAUAGCAUAGAAUGUUGGGUGGUGAAGCAUCAACACGUACACAAAAUGGGUGUAGUGGAGAUGAGGAUGCUUCGUUGGAGGUGUGGGCUCACGAGAAAGGAUAAGAUUAGGAAUGAGUGGGUUGGACAUGUGCAAAGAAGGCCUACUAACGCUCUAGUUCGAAGAUGUGACUACGGGACAGAGGUUCAGGGCCGAAAUGGUAGAGGAAGACCUAGGAAAACUUUCGAAGAGACCCUAAGAAAAGACUUAGAGUACUUGGAUCUAACAGAGGACAUGACACAAAAUCGAGCGCAAUGGCGUUCUAGGAUUCAUAUAGCUGACCCCAUUUACUGGGAAAAGGCUUUGUUGUUGUUGUUGAUGAUGGGUUAUCAACUUAUCAUAAGAAGCACAUAUAUACACGCAGAGUUGCAGACACGUAGAUUAGAGAACUAAGGGCAACAGUUAUAAGCAUCAAAUAUACCAGGAACUUUUGAUUUAGUUUUAAGAGCAUCUACAAUGGGCUCCCUAAAUGAGCUCCUAGUUAAAAUUUAGGGAGGAUUUGGAAAAAUUCACCCCGUCACUCCCUAUCCACCUCCUAAAAUAAGGAUUCUACAACGAGCUCCUAAAUCUAGGGAGGUAGAAAAGAGCUCCUAAGGCUCCUAGCAUUUUGAUUGUUGAUGCGAAAUAUAUAAGCACACAAAUUAAACCCUCUUUUUAUCAAUUGUAGUAAAGAAUGUAAGUAGGGAUCGUUCUAGGCCGGGGAUUAGGAGGGAUUGCUAAAUCACUUGAAAACUGACUCAAAAACGUAAAAACAAAGGUUAAAACACUAAACUAGACUCAAAGAAUGCAAAACUAAACUCUAAAACACUAAAACAAACCAAAAAAACUCAAAACAGCACAUAAACACUCAAAAUUGCCUUAAAAACACAAUCUGGGCAGUUUUGAACACCAACACAAAUUUGGACGAAAAUAGGUUAUAACUUGACUCAAGACACUUAAAAACACAAACUAAAUUGAUUUCUAACUAAUCUAACACUUCAAAAUAAAGGGGAAUUUGGUUUUAACGAAAUUGAAAACAAACAAAAACUUUGUAAACUAAAACAGAUUUCAAAACAAAGUUGAUUAAAGUGAAUGGAUUGAAAGCUAGCUAAGGGGUUCUUCUCCACACAUGUCACACUUGCAUACAAAAUGAUUUCCAACUGUUUUUCAAUAGAUUAUGAAUUCUCAAUGCCCCAGAUUAACCGUGAAUUGCACUAAUUAACCCUCAGAUUUUCCUAAAGUUAGUGAAUUGGAUGAUUGCAUACGACAACCCAAAGCAUUCCCCACAAGUUCCCUACAUGAAUUGCAUAAUAGAGAUACAAGAAAGAAUCAUUAAGUUCUAUGAAAACCAUAAGCAUUGACGAGGCACUUGUUACUAUGAAUUGCAUGAAACUUAUGCCAAGAAUUUACUUAACAUGAUUGUGAUCAACAACCUUUACUACUUGCGAAUAUAAGUUCAUAACGAUUAGGUGAAACUCCCUUAUAUCCUAGCAUUAGAUUUAUGCAUGAAAAUUAAGCGUGCACUCUCAACCAACACACACAAAUCAGUUUUAAUUCAUAUUGAUAAGCAAAUUGGAUUUACAACUCAUGAAACACAAUUAGAAGUAAUCAAAUCAUAUAGCAAGCAUAAAACAUGGUUUCGAACCCCCCCUAGCCAAGGGGGGUUUAAGUUCUCAUACUCACAAAACAAAGAUAAACAAAGUUAGACAUUGAGAACAAAAGAAAGAAAACACCUAGACGCUCCAACGAUCCAAUCUUGAAUAGCAAGCACACCUAUGGACUGUCCUCCUUCCUCUUUGCUACAGCACAAGACUUAGGGACAGAUUCUUGGGGUUAUGAAUGGUGUAGAAUGGAUGGGGGAUAAUAUGGUAGUGUUUAGGAUGGAUAUGUGGUGCGGGAAAGGGCGGUUUUGGUCAGGAAUUAUGGAAGAAUGGUGAUGAAAGCUGGGGCAGAGAGUGGCUUUAUGUUUCUGGCGUGAAUGAUGUGUAUGAGACGUGGUAGUGUGCGGCAUAAACUGAAAAUACAUAUUUAUAGGCACCUAAACCCUAGGGCAAUCAGAUUAAGGCUUCUAGAACCCAAAUCCACCAGGAAAAAGGCUUAGAAAUCAGAAUUAAAAGGGGAAAAGGCCUACAAGGUGCGGCUGGAUGAUAAAGCUUCUAGAAAGCCUUGCAAGGCAAGGAAAAAGGGUUCUAGAAUGUCUUGUCAUGCAAGGAAAAGGGUUCCCUUGCUGUAAUAGGUGCGGCAUUCCUCUAGAAUAAGGCUACGGUGUCCUAAAGUGUUUAGGACUCCUCUUUGUAGCUGAAACCCUUGCACAUUAGGAAUAGGAAAGCUUGUCUUGAUCGAUCCUUCUUCCUUUUGGACUCCUUUUCCUUCUUUGACUUGGAAUACUUCUUUGUUGCUGAAACUCAAGGCCAAUUAGGUUUAACUUUCCUACUCCAAGUAGGAAACCUUGUUUGAGUAGGAAUCCUCAUUCUUCUAGGAAUCCAUCUUUGACUAGGAUUCCUCCGUUGAUUAGGAAUCCUUCUUCAAUUAGGACUCCCUUCGUUGAUUAGGAAUCCUUCUUCAAUUAGGACUCCUUCAUUCUCGUCAAUUCCUUUCGUUCCAAGCACGUGAUUUCCAUUCCAAGCUCAACCUUGCUCCUAAAGGCUCCAAAAUGCAUCGUUUUGCAUACUUUGCCCUUAAAACCUGAACACAUGAAACUAGCUUAAAAGACUAAUUUAACUAAGAAAACACAACGUAAAUGCAAAAUAACAAGCUCACUAAGUCGCAUAAAUAUGCUCCUAUCAGUUCUUCUGUGUUGAUUGUUUGAUUGUUUUGUGAAUUGCUGUUUUUUGUAGUUGUAUGUGGAUCGUUUAUUAGUUAUUUCUUUGAAUUGUUGUUGAUUGUUUGAAUUGGUUUUGAUUGUUCUGUGAAUUGUUGUUGAUUGUUUGAUUGUUUUGUAAAUUGCUGUUGGAUUUUGUAGUUGUAUGCUGAAAGUGAUCGUCAUUUUGUUGACCCCAAGGACUUUUGUGAAGAGAGAGAUAGUAGUGAUGAUGAUGAUGAAGAAUACCAAAAUUAUUAAGUUGAAGGAUCACAUGAGAUAGAGGCAUUAAGAAAUAGAGUAGCGGCAAGUUUGAUGAAUGCAUCUAAUUAGACUACCUUCAAGUACAUUAACAAUAUUGUACUAAUGAAUCCUAGCUAUUCAAUCUAAAAUAUUUUAAUUGAAGUAGUUUGUCAUACUAAUUAAUAUUUAAGAUAAAGUUUAUAAAUAUUUUUCUUUUAAAAAUAAAGUAUAUUUAGUAAUUCACCUUUAUUUGUUAAGAAAAUUAAAUUAAUAGCACAUCUAGUAUUAUAUCCUUUUUGGUCAUUUUACAUAGUCACAGUUGUUUUACAUAAAAGUUUACAAACACUAUCAUACUCCUUUUUUUUCCAAAAUCAUUUUUACAAAAAAAUUUACCAAACACUCUGCUGCUUUAUUUCACAGCACAACAAAAACAGUUUUUUUUCAAAGUACAGCAAUACCAAACCAACCCUUAAUAUCAUCCAUCCGGCCCCAAUUCGUCUACAUACAUGAUUCAACCUAUAGUCCACCUUAAUUUUCCUCUAGCAACUUGCAAAUUACAAAAGGUAAGAAACAAUGAUCCCUAUUUUGCAUUUUUCUACAUUAUGGCCUCUGUGAUAGGAAGUAAUGUUCAAACCCUCAUGCAUGUGUAUGGUCUGUGUAGGAAACUCGACCAAAAGCGAUGGUGAAAAUAAACGACUGGGUUCUACAUCAGCUAGUAGAUUCGGCGGUCAAAAUGAAGGCAGAAACCUCGAAAUCCUCAAAUCCAAUGCUGGAAAGGUACAAAGACCAUCCCUUUGCUGAAUUAGGCAGUUAUUUGGUCAAAUUAAUAUGUUUUUGGUGUCUCUGGCAUUCUCAUUUAUGUGUCUGAUCAUGCAUCCACUUUUAUAUUCAAGUGUGCUAAGCAUGCUCAUUUUUUGCUUUCCUGCGUGCUUGCAUGUACCCUAUGGUGAACGAUGAGUAAAAUUUCGGAAAACCCUUAUGUACCUGUGUGGAUCUCCAAAUAGAAAUUGUUGUAUUUUAAGAUCUCCAAUGGUCUGUAAAUUUUUUUGAUGUGUGUUUAGGCCCAAAUUAAUGGGUUUGGGCCGAGUUAGUUCUUCGGCUGGCCCAUGAUGGAUUAUUGGCCCUUGGUGGAAUCCUUGGCCCAUGGGAAGAUCUAGAUUCGUUAUGGAAUCUCGACGAAGUUCGUGGUGGAUUGGCUGAGUCCGAUAUAGUCAAGGAUUCUAGUUCUUAUAGAUAAGGGAUCAAACUUGUUGGAAUUCCUUGGUAGAUCGUAUCAAGGGUCAGGAGUUCGCAUGAAAUCAGUGUUCCAGAGUGAGAAGAAGUGCUCAAAGUCCAAUCCUGGUAUGAAGAGUGUCACCAUUGAGUUCUAGUCCUCGUAGGCUUCUACUUGGUUAUUACAAUAAAUAAGAGAGGAUGUACAACAUUCAAUGCCUCUCCAAACACACAAACAAAUCUGCCAUGUGCAAACCCUCACUCUACGCGAAAUCUCCCUUGAGAAAACACUAACCAUCCAAACCUCGUCGAGCACACCUUCGGUAAGUCUUAACAACACUAUGUUUGACAAUCGGCAACACCUUCAGUUAGUCUUAAUAACAAUGGAAUUGUAGAGUCAGGCGAUCGAUGAGCACCUGUCAGUCAGUCUUAACAGCACUGCUUCAAUUUCAGCUGGUUAUUAUCCAAGUCUCAGCUAGUAAGGAGUCUUUGAGUCCUUAUUGAAAGAGGUCACCUCAUUAGCAUUCUCGGUGAAGUGAGGUGUUAAUGGGGCUAAGCACAUUGAAAGCUGAGUUUAUUUUAUGAUUGGAUACUUGCAAGUGCAUUCUAGAGUUCGGCAUUCGGAUGACUGAACCACAUAUACAAUCCAGACGCAUAUCUCUUUCAAGUAUUUGUAUAUGUACAAUCUGGUACCGGUUCGGCGUACUUAUAUUUGCACAAAUAUAAUUACUAAGGCCGAACCCGGUGCUGACAAUUUGUGAACUUCUAAGAAAUUAGCAAUCUUGUCUUCAGGCUCUAGAGCGCAGAAGGCUAAGACAAGCCCCUUCCUCGAAUGCAAUCGUAAGACGUAGAAGCUAGCAUCACAUUUAACAUCACCACCACAUUCAUUUAUUCACCAACCGAGCUCGGUCAUCAAGUUGGCACGCCCCACAUUUAGCUCAUUAGUUACUUGGCCUACGAGCCACGUAGGCUUGGUACUUUUUUAGGAUCAAUAGAGAGUAAGUGAAAGGGGAUUCAAGCAGGGCUGAUCGAAUGCAACGCUGUGAUGUAUGUUGAUGUGAAUGCAAUGAGGAUGAAUGCAUGAAUUGAGGCGAAUGAAUGUUUGCGUACGUAGUGGAUUUUUAGGGCUGAUUGAUUUUGAAUUCAGCCUGCAAAUACCACACAUCAAAAAUCUAAUUGGACGGUAUAAAAAAAUGAACAAAAGUUGCUUCUUUUUUUUGUGAUAGAUGUUUGAUAGGAUUUUUAGUACUUACAUAAAGAAGGUUAAAAUCACACAAAAUAUUUGCAAGAAUACAAAGCAGUUGUAGUAUAUAUACUCAUGCAAGACAUUUCCCCAUAAGAGCUAUUUAAAUCAUUUAUGUAAAAUCAAUUCGUAAUUAAUUACUCGAAAAUUGAGAAAGGUGAUUUGGAAUUUGGGUAAUAUUAAAAACAAAUUUUAAUUAAAAACCAAAUAAUAAAUUCGGCCAAAAUUAAAAAGGUGAAAGAAAAGAGUUUUUAAAAAUAAUUCAUAAAAGCACUAGGGUUCCGCCAUCACCUUAGCAAUCCUAUGUAUUUUACCAAUUACUUAUGAUUUACACAUACAAUUUUGGAAGUUAGGUUUUCCUAAUAUGUCCUACUUGGAACCGUCAACAUAUAACGUAUAUCUAACAUGCAAUCCGUUCGAAAGUUCGGAUCAAAUAUGAACAUGAGAGACUCAUUAUGUUUUGUGAAAACCUUUUGAAAAACUAUGCAACCCUUAAGACGUGGUGUUUAUCGUAAGUGAAAUUACAAUUAUUAACCAUAAGAAGCCAACGUCAAUUUCAAAGAACCUUUCGACCAAAAUUGCAUCAAAUUAUUUUUCUAAAGAUCCUAAUGGUGAUCAAGUAUUAAGACAAUUAGAUAGUUAAAACCUAGUGAUUAAUAAUUCAAUACAUACAUGCAAUCAAUCAUAAGCAAUUAAAUAAAAAAGUACACAUUCAUGCUAAAGCCUCGCCCUUAGCGAAAUGGAUUAGUUAUGCAUGUUCAUAAUUAAAAUCAAAGAAAAUAUUAUUAUGAAGAACAAGAUUGAAAGCACCUUAAAGCAAAAGUCUGAAAUUCUCCAAGAACCCUAGCCAAUUUCUAUCUCCAAAGUCGUGUAAAAGAAGAAGCACAGAAAAACUAGAGCUGGCCAAAGCCUUCUAUCGCACUCCUAAGCUUUUGCAUAAUCCCCUACAUAAGUCUUUUUAUCCAACUAGGAAACCAAAUAAUAAUAAAAUAUAAUAGAGAAUAAAAUCCUAAUUAAGCUAAGAGAAUCUACAAAGAAACUGUCCAGCCAUGUUUUAGCUCUAAAUCUUCUCUAAAUCCCACCCUUGAUAGCUUGUUCUAGAGAUGGGAACAUUCUAAACACAUCUCCAGAAGGAGCCGAAUCCAAAAUAGGCCAUCUUGGACUUCAAAACUCGCACUCAAGCCCAAACUGUCACUUUUCUAGCACCCUGCACUGCUCCUUUAUUCUAUUGCUCGAAAUUAACUGUUUGGUGGAAAAAUAUGAUAUUUUGAUACGAACAAGCUAAGCGACUCACGAACGUCCUCUAAUUAGAAUUAACCGUUUGGUGGAAAAAUAUGAUAUUUUGAUAUGAACAAGCUAAGCGACUCAUGAACGUCCUCUAAUUAGAUUUACUCCAAAAUUUAUUCAUUUGAUCACGUUUUGCCCCAUAGGAAGUCAAAAGUUCUAUUGAAUAUACAGUUCAAAGUAUCAAAAUUCUUCCAAAAUAAUAACCAAAAUAAACUAAGAUUAGGGUAAAAUAUGUAAUAUAAAAUCUACUCAUCAAAAUUCUUGUAUUGUGAUUAAGUAAAUCCUAGAUAUUAGUUUUUAGUUAUUCUUUCCUUAUAGGAUUGUAUUUAGUUGGAGGACAAGUUAACUUGUCCUCAUUCUCUAAUGUAACUAAAUGCGCUGUUUAGGGGAAAUAAAAACACACAAGAAUCCCUACAAUUUCUCUAUUUUCUCUUUCUCGCUGCACCCCUCUUCUCCCUUUCAGCUAAACUAGACCACAAUAUUUGUGUGUGUGUGUGUGUGUGUGUGUGUGUUUUUUUAUUUUUUUAUUUUUUUUGGUUGUAAUUUUGUGAUACAGAAUGAAAGAAAAAGAAAAUAAAAUAAAAUAAAAAGAACUAGGGUUAGAAAAAUUGGGUUGCCUCGUAAUCAAUGCUUUAGUUAACGUCUAUAGCUAGACGAAGUGCAAGGCAGGUGUUCAAGUCACUAGCUCCCUUAGAGUCAACCACUCCUUAGCAACAUCAUAGGACGACAGUAGGUAUGUAUGUGAGUUGAUGUUUAUUAACUUUGCAUUCCAAUUCAGUAGUUAAAUCCUUUAUAUCCACCCUUCUAUGUGAAUGAACCUCUGUAAUCAAAUAGUGUCACUUCCAGCAAGGCUUAUAUCUCUCUCGAACUGACUUCAACCUUGUAUUUAGCACCCACAACUUCUGCCCUGGCUGAAUUUCUCUACAAAGAAUUUGGUUUGUCAAUAAGCUUUUUCUGUUUUCCCCUUAUAAAUGUUAGCCUUCUCGCAGGACUCACUCAGAAUUUCUUCAAGUUUGAUAGGCAGUGCUGGUGCACUGUCUGUUAGAGCAGCUAAAACAUUUUUCUCAGUAGCCUUCCUUGUAUCCGAAGUGGUCAUAGUGCUCAGGAGCGGAGCAUGUGGUGUAUAAGACUCUUCAUUCCAACACGUCAGUUUUAAUGCAUUUCUGCAACUUAGUGUGUUGCUUUGCAACCUCUAGAUUGGGAAUGUAUGGCAUUUAGACUUGGGUGGAGCAGAUUCUGGGAAACUUUCAGGAUUAACCUGUGCUAAUUCUCCUAUUGGUCAUGAGUUACUGGCUAAUGGCUCUUCCGUUUCUGUUUACUUAAGCGUGUCAUCAUGGCUCAUCUCAUAACAUAAUGUACGAGUUGCACAACACUCCUCUGAACCUCGUGGGUUAUCUACAGGCUGACUUGGAAAAUCGGCUCUCUCACUUUCUGUCAAUUGAAAAUUGAGCUGCUCAACUUGCUACUCCAGAAUUUUGGUGACGCCAUCGUAUCCUACAUCACAUGGUUUCGGCUUUCAAUAGAUUCAACCAAUUUUUCAAGUGCAAUCUCUGAAGAUAUGCUUUGGCUGGCACAUUGGGUUACUCAAAAGGCUGCUGAAAACCUACCCACAUAGAAUUAGGAUGCUCCCAUAUUUUAAAAUUUUGAAUAAGGAUCGUACAUAGGAAUGGGCAAAUAUUCAUUGGUUAUGAGUAAUCGCGAUUACCCGUCUAUUUAAAUUAAACGGUUAUGGUUAUGGGUAUAAAUAAACGGUUAUGGGUAUAACCGUUUACCCGUAAAAUUUAAAUGGGCGGUUAUGGGUAUUAACCAUGGUUAUAAACAGGUAACCGUUUACCUAUUUAUUUUAUAUAUGUAAAACUAACACAAACCAUGUUCUCGAUCCAAUAAUAAUACUUAGCACCCAAUAAAUUAGCAAGGAAUUUAUCGGUCAUUCUCUCAAUAACACUACUACAUUCUCAUCAUUAAGGAAUUGGUCAAAUUAAUUUAAAUUUCUUGCGGGUAACCAUGAAAUUGAAAGAAAUGCUUUGACAGAAAUGUCUUCUAAACAAUUUUUGUAACUAUAUAAUACUUAGCAAAUAUUAUAUUUACCUUCAUUGGUAAUAGUUAAAAAUAUCAUCCGUAAACUAUUAUUUCAAUUAUUGGAAUGAUAUAAAGACUUAAAAAAUUAAAAUAUGGAAAUGUAUGAUGAAUGUACCUAUAACUGACACCCCCGUCCCGAAGGAGGGCAUGCUGGCCGUCACGUGAGAGUGACGUAACCAUUUACACAGUACGGAAGCUUUAAAAUACAAUUUAUAAGUUGAUACACCCGAAGGUGAGUCCUAAUUUUGUCCAAUCUGUCAGAACACCGUCAAAUUCCUCGUAGUCACCACACCUUUGUGAUUCCUGAACCUGGAGGGGCGCAAAACCAAAAUUGAGUGGGUCAGUAAAACAAUUCUUUUCCAAAUCCAAACAUUUCUCAAAACGUUGUAACCCCUCUCCGUAAAACCUGUAUACUUUCCCAGAAAUAUAAAAUAUAAAUAUACAUAUAUAUAUUCUCAAUACUUCAAUUCAUUAACUCAACAUUUUCAUCAUAAUUAUGCCAUGCCACAUCAUCUCAACAUUUCUCAUAUUAAUUAUGCCAUGCCACAUCAUCUCAACAGUAAUAAGGUAUGAAUGCAUCAACAUAAAUCAUAUCAGGUGCAAUAAAGUAAUCAACCGGAGGCCCUUUACUAGCCCGGUUGAACCUAGAGCUCAAAAUCUAUCACUCUCACACUCUGCCGGAGUCACUCCGCGUGACCUGUCCGGCCUUCUGCACAUAAGUUACGCUCUAGUGCUUCUCAUAAAUCAUCUGUGCACAUAAUCUAAGGUCACCCACCAGUCGGAAUCUCACUAACACUCUCGCGACUGGCCUGUCGUACCCACUCCGCGUGGACUGUACGACUAGCAUCUACUUGGAUCCAAGGCGAGCGUGCGAUGCGGUGAAUACUAUAAGCACUAAACUAUGGUGCAGGAUUUGAGCUCAAUAUACAUCAACAUCAUCAUAACAGAAAUAAAUACUCACCUGUGCAUCCACCGCACCAUUUCAUACAUAUGCAUCAUAAAUCAAUUCUUACCUGUGCGUCCACCGCACCAAUUCAUAUAUAUGCAUCAUAAAUCAAUUCUUACCUGUGCGUCCACCGCACCAAUUCAUACAUAUGCAUCAUAUAUUAAUUCAUGCAUGGCAUUUCAACUCACAUUUCUAUAUACUUUUCAUAUCAAUUCUAUGCAUGGUAUUUCACUUCCCGUUUUUCCACAUAACUCAUAUGCAUUUCAUUUUAAACAUAUUUUCAUUUCAAUUCAAUUUCUGGGAAACGUCAAGUAUAUAUAUAUACGGAAAACAAAACUGCCCACUCACCUGGAGUUCGUCCAACAACUCCCUAGCACCACACAUCAAGGCGUCAUGACGAUCGCCGCCUAGAACAGUAAUCAAAUCCAACCUCAGAAUUCAUAUCGAUAGAAUAUAUAACUUAUAUAAAAUACGUCCCUACGUAGAUCGAUCCGGAAGAUCUGCCACUCAGAUUUUAAAUCCAUAACUUCCAGAGGUCCACAAUAUAUCUCUAGGACAACAUCCUAAAAUUUCAUCACCAUCCAACGGUCGGAUCUCCGUCAAUUUCCAAAACUAAGUGACGGUUAACAUUGCCCCCACGCGCAUCAUCUUCUUCCUUGGGUCGCCGGACUGGUUUUUCCGGCGGCCGUUUUUCAAAUUGCCAUAACUUUGUCAUUUCUCAACGAAAUCAAGUGAUUCAAAAACGAAAGUUGUAGCCCUUGAAGAGAAAAAGAGAAUGGUACCUUGCACAACACCUAGUUCGCCGUGGUUUGGCCGGAAACGUCCUCUAAAGCCUCGGAGGUCGCCGGAAACUGGGUAUUUUUCAAAUGAGUAUAACUUCUUCAAUACUCAACGAAAUUGAGUGAAACAAAAAGUAAAGUUGUAGUACUUGACGAGACGAAGAGAUUGAUACCUACCUCAACUCCUAACUCGCCGGGGAUUCGCCGGAAAGAGCCUCGAAAGCUCCGGCCAAACUUUGAACUUGUCGAUCUCCGUGUUCUUACGUCCAAAAACUUCCAACGAAGCACUCCGAGCUUCCUUGGGACUUCCUUAAGCUCACUGUGAGCUUGGUUUCACCUAAAACAAAGCCAAUUCGAAGAUCAUGAACAAUGCUCUUCAUGGGAACUUUGAAACUAGGGGUUUUCCGAAGCAAAACUUACCUAAAAUGGAUACCAACGUGAUCGUGAAGUCCUCAGGAUUCCAAUGGUGGUCUCAAACUUGACGUUGGUAUAGAUUUAGGGUGGUUUUGUGGUGGUCCGUGUGAGUUCGAAGGAGAGGGAGAGAGAAAGUGAGGUCUGAGGAAGAGAGAGAGAGUACAUACGGGAAAUGGGGAGGGAAUCAGGGUAGGAGGCCCUACUUAAAUCCCAAACACAACUUUAAACAUACUAAUGUAAAUCCAAUUGUUAAAUUUUCGCCCCUUAGUCCCGCUUAAGGGCAUUUUGGUCUUUUCACGUCCUCGGAAUUAAAAUUCCGGGACGGGCUGUGACAAUAACGGUGUUUAAUUGUCAAAAAAAAAAUUAUGAUAAUUUUUUUUUUAAUUUUCAAGUUGUUAAAAAACAUAUAGACAUAUGAAAAAAAGGGUAAUGGUAAAAAAAAAAAAGAUAAACGGGUUAAAAAGGAUAAAUGGGCAAACGGGUAUUAAACAGUUACGGUUAAAUGGGUAUGUGGUUAUGGGUAUAGUUAACCGUUUAUAAACGGUUAUGGAUAUGGGUAUAACGGUUUAGGCAAUUAUCCAACGGGUAAACGGUUAUGCGGGUAUAAGCAUAAAUGGUUAUGGAUAAAUUAACCGCAGUUACCCAUUCGCCAUAACUAUUGCCCAUCCUUCAUCGAACAUAGGCCUUUGAGAGUUGUCCUUCAUAUUAAUAUAAUUUUGCACAUACUCUGGAAAAUAUUCCUUCUGGGGAUAAUGCAAAAUAUUGUGGGUAUUCAAACUGCAAAGAACGAACUGUAGGUGUUCAUUAUGAAAAUCCAAAAAAUCCUUUUCAGCUAAUGACUCUCAAGGGUCGGGCAGCUUCAGGUAUAACGAAGGCCAUUCUAUCGUCGCUGUCCACACAAGUAGAGCCCAAAUUUCACCAUUCUGCAAGGAAAACGAAAAUAAAAUAAAAUAAAAUAAAUAAAGUUUAUAUACCCAAAUAAUCAACUAAUAAUAUAAUAAACACAAAUUAUUUAAAACAAUUCAAGGCAACGGCGUUAAUUUCUUGAUAGGAGUUUUACCACAUGCAAAAGUUGGAAUAAAACACUCAAAAAUAUUUGCAAUGAGAACAAAGUAAUGUAGUAUAAACGGAUCAAGCAAAGUCGUUAUCCAUAGAGAUGAAUGAAUAAUUUGUCUUUAAAACGAAUUCUUAAUUAAUUAUUUAAUACAAAGUUUAGAAAGAGGUUUGAAAUUGUGAAUUAAAAUAACACAACAAUGAAAUAAAAUCAAUAAAAGAUAUCGGCAAAAAUAGUAAAAAGAGUAAAAGACGCGAUUUUGGAAGAUUAAAUUUAAAAGACACUAGGGUUCUGCAAUCACCUUAAUAAUCAUAUGUAGUUUUCUAAUUACUUAUGCAUUACACAUGCAACUUUGAAAGUAAGGUUUCUGUGAACACGGAAAAUUUCCUGAAACGAAAGAGACAAGAACAACGUGCACAAAAUAAUAUUUGUGUUUGAUUAUUUUGGGUUACAAUCUCUCUCUAAUUUGAUCCUCUGAUUCGAUCUCCGUAAGGUGUUGAUUUGUGGAUGUUUCGUUGAUCCAAGGGCCGUCGAGACUUGAUCUUGGAUGAACUGUUGGAAGUUUUUUCAAGGGGCCGUGGGCUUGAUCUUUGAAGGUGGAUUGAGCGGAUCUUCAAGGAGCCGUUGGGGCUUGAUCUUGAGGAUGAGUGUUUCUUCAAGGGCCGUUGAGGCUUGAUCUUGAAUAAUGGUGAUGAACGGAUCUUCAAGGGCUUUUGGGCUUGAUCUUGAAGAACUGUGAUGAACGGAUCUUCAAGGGCUUUUGGGCUUGAUCUUGAAGAACGGUUGGAUGUGUGGAUUUGUUGAUGUUGUUGAUCCAAAGGGCCGUUGGGGCUUGAUCUUGGAUGAACGGAUGAUGAACGAUGGUGCUUUCUUCAAGGGCCGUCGGGGCUUGAUCUUGAAUUGGUGGAAGUUCUUCAAGGGCCUUUGGGGCUUGAUCUUGAAUUGGUGGAUGGUUGAUCCAAGGGCCGUCGGGGCUUGAUCUUGGAAGAACGAUGAACGAGGAACGAAGAACACUUUCUUCAAGGGUCGUCGGGGCUUGAUCUUGAAUUGGUGGAUGAUUGUUGAUCCAAAGGGCCGUUGGGGCUUGAUCUUGGAAGAACGAUGAAUGAAGAACGAAGAACGAAGAGAGCCUUCUUGAUUCUUCGGGAACCUUGAGAGCUUUAGAGUUUCGAAGCUUCAAAGAUUUGGGGGAUUCUCUUCCAAUUUGGGAGUAGAGAAAUGUAUUUGUGAAUUCCUUGAUUGAUUCUUUGAUGGAGGAGCCUAUUUAUAGGCUUUGGGAACGAAUCACCAUCAUCCAUUUGUUUUGGUGGAUGUUGUAGGUGAAUUUUGGUGGAUGUUUGUAAGUGAAACUUGGUGAAUGUUGUAGGUGAACUUAGUGUAUGAUGUAGGUGAAGUGAAUGAAGGUUGUAAUUUUAAUACAAUGGUCAACAUUUAUUUCACCAAAAUUUCAAUGUUUACAAAUGUAAUCUUAAUGCAAUGGCUAACAUUUAUGCCACCGAAAUUUCAAUGUCUACAAAUGCCCCCACUUCAAGGCGCGUUGUAUACAUGUGCUUGCUACAUGUAGGAGAUGCGUUUUGAAGUCCCUUAAUGUAGUUGUCAAUCCAAGGGUCAUCGAGGCUUGAUCUUGAAUUGGGCUGGAUAUUUCUUCAAGGGCCGUUGAGGCUUGUUCUUGGACUUUGUUUGAAAUUUCUUCAAGGGCCGUCGAGGCUUGAUCUUGAAGGUUGAAAUUGGACCACAAGGAGCUUUAUGUGGUAGAUGAUCUUUGGCUUUGGUAGUGGAUGAAUCGGCACGUAUUUGUUUUUGCGCUUUGUUGACUUUCCACAGCUUUGAUCUUGAACUGGGUUGGAGGAUUUUUUGGAUUCCUCCAAUUGUUGAUUUUCCACAGCUUAAUCUUGAACUGGAUUUGAUUCAAAUAUGGUGGACGCUUGAUCUUGAAUCGGACUUGUGAUUUCCUCAAGGGCCGUCGAGGCUUGAUCUUGAAUUUGGCCGGAAACUUCUUCAAGGGCCGUUGAUGCUUGAUUCUUGAAGGUUGACUCGAACACAUGGCAAGCAGGCACGAGGUGAAGGUGACGACUUGUUGAUUUGUUCAAUCUUUCUAAUUCACACCUGAGCAGUUUGGUCAACGGUAUGAUUUUCAAGAUUGAUGGGCUCUUCUUCCAGUUUGUGACUUGAUCUUUAAAGACUUGAUUCAAGGGUGGUGAAACGGCACAUGCAGCCCACAACGCCUAGCAAGUCGACCCAAGAAUUUGAGGGUCAAAACGAGUCCUCUACCCAGAGUGAUUGUAAACCUGAUGAUAUAAGAUACUUUUGAUUUUGAAGAAGUAGCGGAUGAAUUGACACGUGCUUUGUUGUGCUUGUCUCCACAUGCUUCAAUGUAUCAUUUUCCCUUGUCUUAUCUAUUCUUGUGGUAGAAUGUAGCAUCUUCUCGAGUUCUUCAGCUCAGACUCCUUCUGUUGAGCUGACUGUGCAGGCUGCAUUCUUUUCUGCUUGUUUCUUCAGGCAGAUGUGGCAACUUCUUGAGUUCCUUAGCUCGGACUCCUUCUGCUGAGCUGAUUGUGAAGACUGCAUUCUUCUCUGCUUGUUUCUUCUGCACGUUGUCUCCACAUGCUGCAAGGUAUCAUUUUCACUUGCCUUAUCUGUUCUCCAGAAAAAUGUGGCAUCCGAGUUUGAGUGGAGGUUCCGGCAUAUUGUUUUCUUUAUCCUUGUCUUUGUAGGUAAGAACAAGGAAAAAGGAAAGGACAGGGAGAACGCAUGAUAUGAGAUACUCUUGCUUUCUACCCUGGUGAUAUGAGAUACUUUUGCUUUGGUGUCAUUUGUUUGCAGAGGUACCCCAAGGAAUAAGAAACACUGAGUGACUCGAGAGGCUUCGUUGGGAAGGCAUUCUCGGAGAUGAAGAAAGGUUAUGUAUGUCUGCCUUGCUAUGGAGGGUGAAGGUGGACAAUUAUAGGAAAUUCUUUAGUACCUGUAGAGGUACUAUUCUUUUACUCGUGUCGGCAACCAAUGCGUGAUUGAUCAGUAUAGCUUCACGUGCUUUCUUCUUUAUCAGAAAUCUUCGACAAAUUGUCCGUAAUUUUCGUCAAGCUAAGUGUGCAUGUGACAUGUGUUGACGAGGCUAAAAAAGACUGGCGCCUCUUCGAUAUCUGGGAUCGGCUCUUCGACAAAUUGCCCGUGAUUUCCGCAAAGCUGAGUUUGCGCGUGACGGGUGCUGAUGAGGCUAAAAAAGACUGGCACCUCUUCGAUAUCUGGGAUUGGCGUUUUAACAAAUUGCCCAUGAUUUCCGCAAAGCUGAGUUUGCGGGUGACGGGUGCUAACGCGUCUGGAAAAGCAAGAUGCUUCUCCGAUUUCUAAGCUUGCCUCUUUGAUUUUUUAAUUGGCCUCUUCGAAUUCUGAGCUCGCCUCUUCGAUCUUUGAAAUCCCGUCGAAUGUUGAUCUUUAUAGAGGCACGCAGUUCGUUUCAAAGCACACUUGAAUUUUCGCUUGUAGAAACUCCCUUUUUGCACUUCUAAGAUCUUGAUUUGUUCGACCUCUUCUUUCUUCAACACCUUUGAAAAUGUCUGGACCCUCCGACCGUCGUUUUGAUUUGAACCUGGGUGAAGAGGUAGUCCCAUCUUCUCCAGAUAACAUAUGGCGCCCAUCCUUCAUAUCCCCUACUGGUCCUCUUACCGUUGGGGAUUCAGUGGUGAAUAAUGAUAUGACCGCUGCGGUGGUGGCCCGAAACCUUGUCACUCCCAGAGAUAACAGACUACUUUCCAAACGGUCUGAUGAGUUGGCUGUUAAGGAUUCUCUGGCUCUCAGUGUGCAGUGUGCAGGUUCUGUGUUUAAUAUGGCCCAACGCCUAUUUGCUCGAACCCGUCAAGUUGAAUCAUUGGCGGCUGAAGUGAUGAGUCUCAAACAGGAGAUUAGAGGGCUCAAGCAGGAGAAUAAACAGUUGCAUAAGCUCGUACAUAGCUAUGCGACAAACAUGAAGAGGAAGAUUAACCAGAUACAGGAAUCUGAUAGUCAGAUUUUACUUGAUCAUCAGAGGUUUGUGGGUUUGUUCCAGCAGCAUUUGCCUUCGUCUUCUAGGGCUGUACUGCGUAAUGAAGCUCCAAAUGAUCAACCUUUGGCUCAUCUUCUUCCUGGAGUUCCGCCGAGUGGUGUGGCUUCAAACAGUCAACCUCCGGCGCCUCUCAUUUCUGGAGCUCUGCCGAGUGGUGAGGCGGCACCUGAUCGUCCUUGAAGAUCCCCUCAUGUAAAUUUGAUUUGAUUUUUUUUUUUUUAAGUAUGUAUAAUGCAAAUUUAUGUAAAAUUUCCAGAAAAAAUAAAUAAAAACGGACUUUAUUUCUCUCAAUGCAUUUGUUUUGUUUUUUUUUUUUGUAAAUACAUAAUAACAUAUGUAUUUAUUUAUUUAUUCUUUUGUAAUAAAAUUGACUUUCUUUAAUAAAACUUUUAUAUUUUUAUAUUUUAUAUUUUUUUUUUAUUUUGAUAUGACUGAACUCGAAAUUGAAUGUUUGAGCCGCCUACGUACCCUUCCAAAGAAGAGAUCAAGCCAUAACAUAGUUCAAAUGAGUGAUGAAUUUAACAGUAAUUUUGAUGAUGAUUUUGCCGUACACAGUUUAUGCUCUUACGGGCCAGGAGCUUUGGUGUUGCCUUUUAUGCUCGUGCAGACCAGGAGCGUUGAUGUCGCCUUUUAUGCUCAUGCAGGUCAGGAGCGUUGAUGUUGCCUUUUAUGCUCGUGCAGACCAGGAGCUUUGUGCCAUGCAGUUUAGACUCGUGCGGGCAAGGAGCUUUGGUUCGUGCAGUUUAGGCUCGUGCGAACAAGGAGCAUUGGUUCGUGCAGUUUAGGCUCGUGCGAACAAGGAGCAUUGGUGUUGCCUUUUAUGCUUGUGCAGACCAGGAGCUUUGUGCCAUGCAGUUUAGACUCGUGCGAGCAAGGAGAAUUUGUGAAUUUUGUCAAGCAAUUUUGGAGAGGCGUUCCUCACAAUCUUCAUAGCAAGGAGCCUUGACCGAGUGAUUAAAGAAGUCUUUGGGAAAGAAAUCGCGCAUCGUGAUGGGGAUGGACGAUAUAUGUGUCGAAAUUUCAUCAUCUUCAACACGUUCACGUUGCUUUGAAGGUUGACAAGAGCUGCUUUGCCCCCUUUCCGAUUGGCGGACUUGUGGAGGAGACGUAUGCUUUUUGUGCAAUUUCUUAGGAGUGACUUGAGUCCAUCCUUCAACUUUGCUUGUCUUGGAGGAUGCCCUAUGAGGUUGAGGUAAAAAUUUUGAGUCGGAAGAGCCAGAAGUGAUGGUGGUAUAGUUUGACUUCACCACAUCGUCAAGAUCUAGCUCGAUGAUUCCUUUAUGAGCCAGCUUCAUGAUGAGAUCUUUCAACACGAAGCACUUUUCUGUCGGAUGACUGAUGAAGCGGUGGAAUUUACAGUACCUUGGACUGUCGGUGCAAUUUAUCUCUUCUGUCUGUCUGCACUCAGGCAAGCCGAUCACCUUCUUUUCCAGCAAGUCUUCUAACAUGGCAACCACAUCAGAGUCGGGGAAUGGAUAAGUUUUCUCCUCAAGCUCCUUCAAAGUGCGUCUACGCAUCUCUUGAUCACGAAAAGCUUCAGCUUGAAUCGCAUUGCCUCGUGUAGGGAUUUUGACGGGAGAUGUGUUGACUGUCAUUGCUUCUUUGGUGGAUUUCCACAUAGCCUUCUCCACCUUUGUGUCAAGAAUUUUGUCGUUCUUGUAGUCGGCGAUUGGUUCCUUCUUCCCAUGAUGGGUGAUGCUCAACUCCAUGUCAUGGGCCCGAGUGGCCAGCUCUUCGAAGGUCCGUGGUUUAAUGCCUUGAAUGAUGUAUUGCAAACCCCAUUGCAUACCUUGGACGCACAUCUCGAUUGAAGAGGUCUCCGAGAGCCUGUCUUUGCAGUCGAGGCUUAGAGGGCGCCAUCUGUUGAUGUAUUCAAUGACCGGCUCAUCUUUCCUUUGAUUUGUGCUCGUUAGCUCUAGCAUGCUCACAGUGCGGCGAGUGUUGUAGAAGCAGUUGAGGAAUUCCCGUUCCAAUUGCUCCCAGUUGUUGAUUGACUCAACCUCUAGGUCCGUGUACCACUCAAAGGCGUUUCCUUUCAGCGAGCGCACAAACUGUUUGGUGAGGUAGUCUCCCUCCGUCCCCGCGUUGUUGCAAGUUUCGACGAAAUGUGCAACGUGCUGCUUUGGGUUUCCUUUUCCAUCAAACUGCAUGAACUUUGAUGGUUGAUAUCCCAUCGGCAUCUUUAGGGCAUCAAUCUUCUUUAAAUAAGGCUUUGAGUACAACCCGGAGGUAUUUGAGCUCCCUUCGUACUGUGCCUUGACGGUGCUGGCAAUCAUCUCUUGCAACUGCUGGAUAGAAAGAGAUCCCAUGAGUGCCGCUGCUUGGUCUGGCUCCGGCUUCGCAUCGAUUCUCUCCACCGUAGGCUCAUCUUCUGGGUUAGGGUUCUCGCCGUCCUGUGGCUCCAGUCGGCUGACGAGUGCAGCGAUUUGCAAGUCUUUUUCUUCCACAGUUCGGGUUAGCCUUGCUAUCGCUUCAUUCAUUUAAGCCAGUUGUUCUUCGAUGGAGGUAACGCCGAUGGUCAUGACUUGUGCAACCAAUAGACGUGACUUUCCUUUAGACAUCCAGGAUGCUGACGAAGAACGUCGUUGGCUGUUUUGGGAUGUCAUCUUGUGUGCCUCAGCAGCAUGCUUCGGUGCCCCCAGCGAGGUCAAGUUGAUGACAGACUUGCACCUUUGAUGCUCCCCUUGCUCUUUUAGUGGCACCAACUUUGAAGUGGCAUGUUGAGGAGCGGUUGUGGUGCCAAUGGAUUUUCCGUUUGCAGCAGAAGUGCUUAGGAUCCUUCCCUCAGUGGUUGCGAGAACGGCUUGUCCCUUGCUUGAUGCCAUUGAGUUUAAGGUGUGUUUGGAUUCCUUGAACGAAGAAAGAGAUGAGAGGUAGAGAUGGUCCCACUGGGCGUGCCAAUUUGUGAACAUGGAAAAUUUCCUGAAACGAAAGAGACAAGAACAACGUGCACAAAAUAAUAUUUGUAUUUGAUGAUUUUGGGUUACAAUCUCUCUCUAAUUUGAUCCUCUGAUUCGAUCUCCGUAAGGUGUUGAUUUGUGGAUGUUUCAUUGAUCCAAGGGCCGUCGAGGCUUGAUCUUGGAUGAACUGUUGGAAGUUUUUUCAAGAGGCCGUGGGCUUGAUCUUUGAAGGUGGAUUUGAGCGGAUCUUCAAGGAGCCAUUGGGGCUUGAUCUUGAGGAUGAGUGUUUCUUCAAGGGCCGUUGAGGCUUGAUCUUGAAUAAUGGUGAUGAACGGAUCUUCAAGGGCUUUUGGGCUUGAUCUUGAAGAACUGAGAUGAACGGAUCUUCAAGGGCUUUUGGGCUUGAUCUUGAAGAACGGUUGGAUGUGUGGAUUUGUUGAUGUUGUUGAUCCAAAGGGCCGUUGGGGCUUGAUCUUGGAUGAACGGAUGAUGAACGAUGGUGCUUUCUUCAAGGGCCGUCGGGGCUUGAUCUUGAAUUGGUGGAAGUUCUUCAAGGGCCUUUGGGGCUUGAUCUUGAAUUGGUGGAUGGUUGAUCCAAGGGUCGUCGAGGCUUGAUCUUGGAAGAACGAUGAACGAGGAACGAAGAACACUUUCUUCAAGGGCCGUUGGGGCUUGAUCUUGAAUUGGUGGAUGAUUGUUGAUCCAAAUGGCCGUUGGGGCUUGAUCUUGGAAGAACGAUGAACGAAGAACGAAGUACGAAGAGAGCUUUCUUGAUUCUUCGGGAACCUUGAGUUUAGAGUUUCGAAGCUUCAAAGAUUUGGGGGAUUCUCUUCCAAUUUGGGAGUAGAGAAAUGUAUUUGUGAAUUCCUUGAUUGAUUCUUUGAUGGAUGAGCCUAUUUAUAGGCUUUGGGAACGAAUCACCACCAUCCAUUUGUUUUGGUGGAUGUUGUAGGUGAAUUUUGGUGGAUGUUGUAGGUGAAACUUGGUGGAUGUUUGUAGGUGAAACUUGGUGGAUGUUGUAGGUGAACUUAGUGUAUGAUGUAGGUGAAGUGAAUGAAGGUUGUAAUUUUAAUACAAUGGUCAACAUUUAUUUCACCAAAAUUUCAAUGUUUACAAAUAUAAUCUUAAUGCAAUGGCUAACAUUUAUGCCACCGAAAUUUCAAUGUCUACAGUUUCCUUUACGCAUAUUCUACUUGUGGCAUUCAAGCUAAAAUUUAUAUCAAACAUGCAAUCCCUUCAUGCAUUCAGAUCAAAUAUAAGCAUGCAUGACUCAUUACACUUUGUGAAAUCCUUUUGAAAAACCACGCAACCCUUAAGAUGUGACAUCCGCCCAAGGUGAAAUUAUUUAUUAACCACAAGAAGCCAUAGCGAAUUUAUGGGUGGCAUUCCAAUAGAAAUUUCAUCAAAUUACUUAUCUAAAUAUCCUAAUGGUCGCAAAGGUCUAUGACAUAAAGACAGUUUAAACACAAUAAUUAAUAAUUCAAAGUAUGCAUACAUAACAUCAAAAGAAAGUUAAUUAGUUACACAUACUCAUAAAUAAAAUCAAAGAAAAUAUUAUUGAGAAGAAAAUGAUUGAAAACACCUUAUAAAAUAAACUUGAAUCAUUAAAGGCUCUCUAAGCCGAGUUCUUCGAAGUAGUGCUAGCCUAUUGUGAGGUCUUAUGUUUGAUUCUUGCCGAAAGACAAAUUUGAAUCACAUUAUUACUAGCUCAUUGUGAGGUUUAGCCCAAUCCUCCAUUCCCUUAGUAUAAAUAAUAUCGUUUGUUAAUAUAUAUAUAUAUAUAUAUAUAUAUAUAUAUAUAUAUAGCCAUUUGGAUAGUACUAGUAGAUUAUCACCUAAAUAUCAGAUGUCUAAGAAAGACACCGCUACUCCACAAGUGGGAUUAAGUAUGUUGGGUGUCAAGUGGGACCGUUUGUGACCCUACCCAAAAUGUGGUAGAAAUGUUCAUUAAUUAGGGUUUCUAAAAUAAAUCAAAGAUAUGCAAUUAAUAAUGUCGAAAUUAUCAUGUAGAAAUGACUACCAAGAAUGUUGUCCCUUAUUUAACUAAGGAUGAGAAAUUGAUUAUAACAAACUAUGUCGUGUGGCUACUUUAUGGGAUGCUUCAAGCCGUGGUAUGCAGCCAGAUCCUUUCCAUGGUUGGUUAAACGUUCGGCGAGAGAACCACUUCCAAUUGCGGUGUGUUAGGAAUUUUCAUUGCACGAUGAUCAGUUCAGAACGGCAUACCCCAAUAUUAGGUAUUCAUCUUUAAAUUUUGGGUUGCGAGAGGGGCGAGAUUUGACUCGAAGCCCAUUAAUGUUUCCAUCCCAAUCUUCGACAACGGCUAGGAUGUCAUUAUGCCAAUCCCUGUCAUGACAAGGAACAUUCUAGAUAUACGCCCAUCAGGCAAGACUAGAUCUGACCGUAAAGUAGUAGUGGCAGUCAAAAUCCAUCAUGAUGUUGUGCAACAUUGUAAACUCAGGAAUAUCCAACUUAGCCCAAUAUCAUUGGUUUAGCAACUCGAAGCAUGUAAUAAAUCUAAAAGCGAUGGGGGAGAGAGUCUAGAUAGCUAUGUCAUAACACAGCAGAAUGCCCUUCAUGAAGAAGGAAAUAGGAAAACGAAGACUGACGUUGGGUACAUUCUAGUAUAUAGGCAUUGGGAUCAGACGGUGCCGGCAAGUCAGCAUAGAUGCCAUAGAUGCCAUGGUUGGGUUCCUACCAGAUCCAGCUAUCUUCACAAGUAUGAUCCACGUGAUUGUUCACUUGUCGGAAGAGGCAUUGCUUGCGGUCUUGUCAACUAUCGCUGGAUGUAUCAAGUAGAAAGGUAUAUAAUCCUCAUCAUUUUAACUGACGUUUACUAAUUUUUAUCGUAUCAUUUUAUUUUGGCAGGCAUCUCGGGGAAUUGAAAAAAAGUGUAUGCAAUAGGGUGAAGCCUGAAGGAUCAAUUAUAGAGGCUUGGGUUCAAUAUGAGUCACUUACAUUUUGUGGAAUGUAUUUAAAAGAUGUGGAGACGACUUUCAAUCGUCCUUAGCGCAAUAAUGACGGGGGCGUGAGUAAGGAGAAACUUUAUGUUUUUGGCCAAUGCGCACGACCCUUUGGAGAUCCUGUAAGAGGCAAGUCGUAUUCCAAAAAUGACAUGGAGGUAGCGCAUUGGUUCGUACUGAACAAUUAUGAUGAGUCAAUGGUAUAUCUAGAUGAGCAUGAAGAGAUGAUGAAGCGAGAACAUCCAUCGCAUUUGUAUGCCAAGAAACACCGUGAAUUGUUUCCACAGUGGUUUAUCGAACAUGUAAGUUAUAUAUGUUUUGUAGUUGACAUAUAUAUUGUAGUAUUUAAUUCUCUCAAACCAACAUGUGCAUGUUUUUGUAUACUGUUAGGUGUGUUGAUGCACAAAACCGGAUGGUCUUGGUACAACGUAAAUCCGACCGUGAAUCUGCAUAAAAUGUAAAUGACACAAGAGUUAUCGUGGUUCACCCCAAGGUUUGGGCUACGUCCACACUGAUUGUAUUAUAUUUCUCUGUUGAAGAGGAGGAGAGAGCUUAGGGGAUGUGAGGAGCUUUGAGAGGGGGUGAGAGGAGCUUUAAGAGGGGGUGAGAGGCUUAGGGUUUAUGAGGGUGAGGAGGCCCUUUUAUAUAAUAAGGGCUCCUCCCCUAAUUACAUAUUUGCCCCUUCCUUUAUUACAUAAUUACAUUUAAGUCCCCCGAGUAUUUAUACGAGGUCUAAAUACGAGGCCCUAAAUAUGGUAUAAACAGUAGUCCCCCAAGUCUUCAGACAAGAGAGUCUUUUGGCUGGAGACUUGAAAUUCAAUCCAUGUGUGGGCCGAAGUAACUAGAUGUUGUCUUGAACUGAUGCUCGAUAUGAGGCGGUGCUCAAUCUGAAAUGAUGCUCAACUAGAAGUGCGAGGCUCGUGGCUUAUGUUGCCUUAGUUGGCUCAGCUUGUGGCAUUUGACGAUGAGGGAGUCCCUUUUAUAGAAUAGGGGCUUGCUCCUCAAUACAUGAAUGAUGGGCUAGAGUUGAUGCUCACGGCGAGGCGGUUGCUCAGUAGGCGGCGAUGCUCUCUAAUGGUGGUGAGGGAGUCCCUUUUAUAUAAUAAGGGUUCACUCCUCAAUACAUAAGUGAUGGGUUAAGAGUGAUGCUCACAGCGAGACGGUUGCUCAGCUGGCGGCGAUGCUAUCUAAUAGUGGUGAGGGAGUCCCUUUUAUAGAAUAAGGGUUCGCUCCUCAAUACAUAAGUGAUGGGUUAGGAGUGAUGCUCACAGCGAGACAGUUGCUCAGCUGGCGGCGUUGCUCUCUAAUGAAGGUGAGGGAGUCCCUUUUAUAAAAUAAGGGCUCGCUCCUCAGUACAUGAAUAAUGGGCUAGAGUCCUCCAAGUAUUUUUCAUAAGGCCUAGUUGAGGCCCAAUAUAUGGUACAUAAUGUAGUCCCCCUAGUUUUCGGUCAAUAGACGUUGUUGGUUGAAGACUUCAAAUUCAAUCCAUGUAUGGGCUGAAAUGGCGGUUGUUCGGAGGCGGUCUUUGUAGACCAUGCACUGAAGCUUUGUAGGUGAAGCUUUGCAAGUGAAGCUUUGCAAGUGAAGCUUUGAAGCUGGAGCUCUGUAAAUGAAACUUUUGAAGCUAGAGCUUUUGUAAAUGAAGCUUUUGAAGUUGGAGCUCUGUAAAUGACUCUUUUGAAGCUAAGACUUUGUAAAUGAAACUUUUGAAGCUGAUUGUCAUGAGUGAUGCUCAUGAAUGUUUAAUUGACAUGAGUGAUGCUCAUGAAUGUUUGAUUGACAUGAGUGAUGCUCAUGGAUGUUAACAUGAGUGAUACUCAUGAAUGUUUAUGUAUGAUUGAUAUGAGUGAUGCUCAUGAAUGUCUAUGUACGAAUGACACGAGUAGUGCUCAUGUAUAAUUUUGAAGUACUGGGUGUACUUUUGAUCACCUGGUUGGUGGCAUAAAUGGCUAAUUGCCAAAUUAUUUUAGAGUACGGUUUGUACAUUUCAUCACCUGGUUGGUGGUAUGAAUGGCUGGUUGCCAAAUGAUAUUGAAGUACGGGUUGUACAUUUCAUCACCUGGUUGGUGGUAAUAGCGGCAGGUUGCCGAAUAAUUUUGGAGUACUGGGCGUACUUUUGGUCACCUGGUUGGUGAUAAUAGAGGCAAGUUGCCGAAUAAUUUUUGGAGUACUGGGCAUACUUUUGGUCACCUGGUUGGUGCUAUUUUGGGCUUAUGGGCCUUCGCCCUCCAUGACAUGCCAGCCCAUUAAUUUUGGGCUUUGCCGUUUUUUUUUUUUUUUUUUGUAUUAUUACCCUCUGAUGGGAUUUAUUCAAAUGUCUCUGAGAGAUAAAAAAAUUAAAUUACAUCAUUCAAAAAAUCAAUAAAGCAGUCUGUGUUACUUUUUCUUUUGCUUUUAUUUUCUGCUUCGCUUUUGCUUUCCCAUGUGCUAUCGCAGAGCAAAGCUUCCCUUUUUUCUUUGUUUUUGCAUAUGGGUGGUCGACAGCGUGCCCUCCUCCUCAUCAGUACCUCCAACACCAACUUAGCAUCUUAAAUACUUUGGAGAGCCACCAGAGUAUUUAGUGGUGGUGGUGGGGUUCUGUCUUCAAGAUCCACAGCUCCAUCCCCCUUCCUAUCAACCCCUUUAAUCAUUUUCCCAUACUUUUUCAGCCUACACUUUUGGCAUCCCAGGCUCACCAAAACCUUCUACAACUGUUCGUUGUUUGGGUCAACGUCAUCGUCGUCAUCGCUUGCGAACUUGCCACCGAUUCGACGAGCUUGAAAAGCAAAAGCUUGGGAUCCGAAGUGUCGAUCUCGUUGUGGAUGAUGCCGAGGGAGAAGAGCUUGUAGAAGCAGUCGAUGACAGGGUAGACGACCUUAGGGUAAGCUGAAUCUACGGCGAUGAGGACGGGGCCGAGAGCAAACUCGGCGUCGGAAAGAAAAAUUCCAGAAAUGGGUGACUUUGGAUCGAAGAUAGAGGAGUUGGUGACAAAAUCGAGCUUGUCGAGGGCGGAUUUGCAGGCGGAGACCAACUGGAAUGCUUGCGCCAGGCGACGUUCUUGAUGAUUUUAUCGAGGUUGACCCCGGCGAUGCACGAUGUAUUCAUUCAGUUUCUUCAUGCCCUUGAAAGUCGCCUGGAACCGGGGCUCCAUUUUGGAAAUGAAAUUGCAUGCGGACCCGACCCGACUAGCAUCCAGGAAUAUACCGAGUUCCUUCUGCUAUGAACUCGCCAGUUUUAGGUGGUAAGUGAUCGUCGGAGAAGCAUAAUACAUGCCGGACAUUGACACCGUUGGAAUCGCUGACCAAGGAACCUUUUAGGAUUUGGGUGUUCCCACACCCAGUCACCAUGGAUAUGUGCUCGAGAGUUGCUUCUUCUCUUCGUUGACUUCGACCUCCACCAUUAUUGUUUGGUUUCGAAUCCGUCGUCCUUGGAAGUUGUCUUCUUCUUCAUCACUGUUUCAAGUCAAGCCUCUCCAAGUUUCAGGCUCUGGAGAUCCAUCACAAGAUUCGGAUCCUCCGACUCAUGAACCGAGUUGACUCGGUCGUCCAAAUUAACGACCUGGGUUGAAUCUGGAAGUGAACGAAACGGUGGAUGGGUAGGAUUCAAAAGCCUUUUUUUCCUCAGAACAAUGGAGGUCAUCGUCUUCUCCUUCUGGGCGGCGAAGAUUGUCCACUUGAUGUGGAGGCUGGUGGGGAGCGGGACAAAGACGGCGUCGAGUUGGGAUUGUCCAGAACGGCAUCAUAAGAGCCGUAGAUCUUAGCGGUCGGAGCGAAAUGGUUAGCCUUGGCGACACAUGUAGAAUUGUCAAUAAAGCGGCUUCUGCCAGUGUAAAGCGUUGCAUUUGGGGCUCGAGCUAUGACCUACAAAUCACGUGGACUUUCAGGAAAGAGGACGCAAAUCGCGAUCACCAAAGAUACCUGCCAACAAUUACGUUAUCUCCCUUCUUUUCUUUUGCCGUGUCUUCCACUUCUUUGUGGAAUUGUUUACAAUUCCACUAACACUUUUUUCUUUCUUUAUUCCUUUCCUCCAUUUUCUUCUUCUUUUUGGGUUUUGUAGAGAGAUAGAGAGAGAAGAGGUGGUGGUUUGGAAAUGAUGGCUGUGAACGUGAUGUUGCAAUUGACAGAAAAAAUCUUGGUCUCGCCGCCGACGUAGCAGAGCCGGUUGUCUUGCAGGCGAGGGAGGAACCUUCCGCCGUAGCUGCACAUGAACUUGGCCUUGUAAUUUUGGGUCUAUCUCUUUCAUGCAUGCAACCACCCCUGUUCAGUCUCCCAUUGAGCUUAACCACAAUCUUUCCAGCUCUAUGGUCGUCACCAUACUCAAACUCUGGUUUCCACAGGAGGCCCACUUCCACACUAAUAUUUGAAGAAUAAGUAUAAUAAUAAAAAUUAUUAAAACAAUCUUGCUUUAAGAAAGUGUGGCCAGCAUCUUGUAGUAAAAGAAGACUUAUCUUCUGUGGUUUGGAUAGUGGGAUUGUGGGCUGGCAGAUAGUGGGAUAAUGUCUAACAAGCAAAGUUGAUGUCGUUGAUGCUUUGUCGAUGCUGCCAAGUUGAUGCUCUGUCGGUAUUUCAUGAUUUCGUGCUGCUGGUCUUUUUUAGAGCGUGCAUGGCCAUGUUGGCCGCUGGUAGUGAUGACGGUGGCGGUGCUCUGUUCUUUCUUCAUGGUUUCUUUGUAGAAGAUGAGGUGGUGGUGUUGUCGAUGGAACGGUAAAUGGAGUCGAGGAGGGAGGAAGAGAAAGAUGUGUUGAGUAGCAGCAGCAGUUGGGGCUGCAGCUUCGGCAACACCUGGGGCAGCGAUGGAAACUGCAUCGCCAAGGCCAGCAUUCAGGACAAGAUCCUCGAUGUUUCUCUUCCCAUAAAGUUUGGCGAAGAGGCCAGGCCAGUAAGACUCGACAGGGACAUUGGCAGCUUUCACCAAGGUUGCAAUUUUCUCGGCAGUGACGGGGAUGCCUUCGUCUUGGAGGAAGGAAGCUUCUAGAGACACUGCACCGUAAUCGCGGGGAAGUUGUCGGUGAACUGGGUGUACUCCGACAAGAUCAUCGUACCUCGGGCCAUGAAGCUGUAGAUGAACGAUUCCUGAGUCAUUGUCGAGUUGGCGAGUGAGUUCGCUCGGAGGUGUGGAAGCAGCGGUAGCAGACAAAAUUAAAAGCUCUGGUUGGUCUUUGUUUCUUUGUUAUCAUGGCAAUUUUUCACAUUUAUUGAGCUGAUUUGUUUCUUUCUUUGUUUUUGGUUUCCGUGUGUGACUGGCUGACAAAGGAGAGAGAGGUGGUUGGAGGUCUGCGACAUUUUUUUUUUGAAAAAGCUCAAAGAGUGAGGUUUUUGGGUUCUGCAAAUUUUGCAGAUUCACAGUGGAGGUUGUGAAGUUUUCACGAUGGUGAGAUGAAAAAAUGAAAGAGAACCGACAUAGCUUUUUGUGUCGUUUCCCACAGACGGCGCCAAAUGUUGAUGCACAAAACCGGAUGGUCUUGGUACAACAUAAAUCCGACCGUGAAUCUGCAUAAAAUGUAAAUGACACAAGAGUUAUCGUGGUUCACCCCAAGGUUUGGGCUACGUCCACACUGAUUGUAUUAUAUUUCUCUGUUGAAGAGGGAGAGAGAGCUUAGGGGAUGUGAGGAGCUUUGAGAGGGGGUGAGAGGCUUAGGGUUUAUGAGGGUGAGGAGGCCAUUUUAUAUAAUAAGGGCUCUUCCCCUAAUUACAUAUUUGCCCCUUCCUUUAUUACAUAAUUACAUUUAAGUCCCCCGAGUAUUUAUACGAGGUCUAAAUACGAGGCCCUAAAUAUGGUAUAAACAAGGUGAAUAAAUUGAAAGCAUAAUUCCUCCACUUACAAUGAAGAGUUAUAUAACUUAGCGUUCAGACCGAUUUGCAAUGAAUUAUUCUCGGGUUGCCAUGUUAAUGGCGUCAAGGUUUUGGGGGCCAUACGAGAUGACAAGUUGUGUACGCAAAACAGCGGUGUCUAUGUCCCAGGUGGAGGUGAAAUUACAUACAUUGAUUUCUAUGGCAAACUAACAAGUGUCAUGCAAUUUCUUUACAAAGACCGAUGCCAAGUGAUCAUGUUUAAGUGUCGAUAGUUUGAUACAAACCUAAAUAUUUAAGGAAGUGUUAAAAUUAACCAUGGCUUACUAUCUGUGAACACUAACAGAACUUGGUACGAUACCGACCCUUCCAUUUUGGCAAACAUGGCAAAACAGAUUGUGUAUUUGGAUGACCCUAAAGUCGGGAAAGGUUGGAAAGUUGUUCAAAAGAUGCAUCAGAGGAAUGUGUAAGCUAUACCAGAACAAGACCUAGUGAUGACGACAUCGACAACGUCACUAACCAACAUUUAAAAUCUUCAAUGGAAAAUGAUGCGGAAACACUUCGAGGUACAAAUCUUAUCCAAUAAUCGUUUCAGAUACAAGAAGUGGCUUCAAUUGAAAUAUCGAUUCGGUCAAUUACAAUUGACCUCGGUAAUCUUCCACGAUAUGAUGCUACAGUGGGUCCGAACGACGACGAUGACGUACCUAUCGAGGAGGAGGAAUGAGAUACUGAAAAUGAUGAUAGCGACGAUAGUGAAAUUUUUUAUAGUUCGGAUGAUGAAUAAUGUAAUUUAUUUGUGACUUGCUUUGUAAAACAUAUUAAAUGAUUUUGUUUUGUAAUUUAUUUAUCUUAUGUUAUAAAUAAAUUGUUUUUAUUUGAAUAAAUAUAAAUUAAAUUUUUUUUUGACUUAGGUAAAUAAUAUUUUUAAUUCAUUGCAGGACGAACAUAAAGAUAUUCGUCGUGCAAAUGAUGUAUAAGUUCCUUUUUGUGGCACAAGAAGUUGAAAAUUUGACCUUCUGAGCAGACGCGAAAAUAAUUACGUGAAAAUUUGAAUUUUUUGCGCGACAUAUUUUAUAUAUACUAAAACCCAAAACGGGUGGAACACUGUUGAUGAACAGUGAAAGUAACAGUGUUUUUCCGUUUUUGCCCUUCUUGAUUUUCCAUUUUUGCCGUUCUAUUCCUUUGUGUUAUGAUUUUUUUGGACCAUUUUAUCCUUACACCAACACUUUGCGCUCGGACAUGCCCUUAUUCCUUUUAUGUUCUGAUUUUUUUUAAUCAUUCUACCUUUUCAGUCCACGUGUUUGUCAUCCGUUUUCAUUUUUGCUUCGCUGCCCUUUUCGUGUCAACACGUGUUGUUCCAGUUGCUUCCAUUUGUUUCCAAAGAUUCCACGCGUUGUUCAUCGACGCUGCCCUUUAGGUACGAAAAUUUCAAAUUUUUUUUGUGUUUUUUAUUUGUUUUCAAUGUUAAUUUCUGAUUAAAUUAUUAUUUUUGAUAAACCUAUUUAGAAUCUAAUUUGGGUUUUGCCUGGAUUCCAGAGUAAAAACCUUGAAACUUAAAGGUAAGAAAAUUUCAAUUUUUUUUUAUAUUCAUUUUCAGUGUUACUCUGUGAUUAAUAUUAUUAUGGGUUUUCCAGAAAUGCUAUUCUUGCUGAAGACCUGCCAUGUAAGUGAUUUAAUUUUUGCUUUUCGAACUUUUCGAACUUUUCAUGCAUAAUUAUGAAUAUGUAGAUGAUUUGAGGGCAAUUGUUUUUUACUUAAUCUCCAAUUCAAAGUGAAGGAUAUUGAGUUUUGUUAUCAUUUUAGUUAAAAAUGUGUCACCAUUUUAGUUAAAUUUAAUCCCUAAUUGAUCUGACUAACCAGCCAAAAAGGAUUAUACUCAAAAUGUCCGCAAAUAGAUGGGAUUUUAUUAAUGAAAAUUAAUCCUUAAUCUUCCUCGGUUCUGUUGUGGGAUCUCCAUAUAGCAAAUUUAUCCUACACUGUAUUUCAAAAAUCGUAGGUUAGAUUGACUACUCUAGCUAUACAAUUCUUCCGUGUAUGCUUUCCCUGAUUGAUAUAAAAUCAUACAUGAAUCUUCUGAUUCAAAUACUGUAGCUAAUAAACAGAUGAAAUUAAUUUGUAAAAUUGGGUUCUGACAUUUGGAAAUUAGUUUGAAAGCAUGUUUUUCUAUAUAGUGUUAAAUAUAUGCACAAAUGUAUUAAAAAUUUUACAUGCUUUUGGGCAACUAUUUUUGAGGUAGGUGAAGUCCUUCUGUUGCAUUGAUACAUCUAUAUCUUCAAUUAAUUUAGUCUAUUAACAUUCAAAUGAAUUAAGAUGUAAUAUUGUCACAUGAAAGUCAGUACUUGCUGACCACAUUUACACAUCACAGAUUCACAGAACACAUGAACUACAUUUUUCUUGGUUCUGCUUUUUAAAAAAUAUAGUUAACAAAUUCACCGAUUUGGUAAAGUGCUUUUAUAUGCACUUUAGAAUUGUGAUAUCUUCCCAAUUUCUGUAUAAAUUGUGUUUCCAUCAUUAGGGUCCUCUAAUUAUGUACAAUCUAGACAGAUUCACUGUCUAAUUAUAAGUUUGUAGCUUCUCUACAAUUUAAAAAGCAAGAAGAUAAGUAGUAAUGGUGUGAAUUAAAAACAUGUAAAAAAAUAUUAUUUAUAAUUGAACAAUCUUAUGUCAAACAAGUUGUUAAGAUAACACUCAAACAUAAGAAUGACAUAAUAUGUAACUUUGAUAAAAUUGCUGUAACGGUACAAAAUUCUGUGCUACAAAACCUUACACGUGUUUAUAGUUCUUAGACACUUAACAGAUGUAAUUAGUUUUUGCUUUUUUUAACAGAUAUUUGUGUCCCAAGCGACAUACAGAAUAAUUUACAAUGUCUUCAGCUUCUAUUGAUCUGGCCCAGUUUACAGCUCAGGGGAAAGAAGUAAUACUCUCUCUCUGUUAUGAUUUAUUCAGAUUUCUCAAUGUAUGAGUGCUGCUUAAAUUCGUAUCUAUCAUUCGUGUUUAAUUUUUAAUAAUUGAUGUUUCAAAAUGAUGAUAUAACAGUAAUGUUAUUGGGUUUGUUUUGGUUUCUAUGACCUAUAGUAUGUGUUUAUCUCAGUCUACCAAAAUAUUAAUCACCACAUCAGUUCAAUAGUAAUUUUAUGUAUCAUUUCUUUGUGACUUUCUGCAGAACUUGGAAUCAGACAUAACAUGUAUGAUGAAUAAGAAACUCAUACACAGAAUGACCCCACCAAGGUAUAUGCAAAUUAAAAUCAUAACUUGCGUCAAUAUAGAAGUAUAAAUUAUUUUUUAGCACACAACUUUGACAUAAUAAUUUGUCCCAUAAUUUAUAAACAUAUUAUACAGAUUUCAGCUACCUGGCAAUCAACGACUAAUAUCUCUUCUAAGAAGGCAAGAUCAACAUAUGGCAUGUCAGAGCAGUAUAUUUUUCACAAACAGAUGGUAAAAUUGUACACAUCACAUUAGGCAAGUUUCAAUCUUUUCUACUUCUAUUUUAACACAUUUCUAAUUAACAUUUCGUACUAAAUUUUGAUUACACUUUAUUUAUAUAUUUGAUUUCAGAAAGUCGAAUUACCACCUAGGAAAAAAAUACAUUUGAACUCCGGUUAUAAGAUGACUUCACACCUCUCUCUCUCCACUCUCUCUACCAAAACUCAGUUUUGAACUUUUUAUGCAUAUUUUUUUUUAUUCAUUGGCUGUCUUUAUUAUCUUUUACAGUUGUAUUCACAACUGUACAAGACACUCCGGAAUUUGUUACAACAAAAUGUCAAUUUUUCCUUCUUUGGAAACAUCUCAAGCUAGGAACAACUCUGGUAUCCAAGCUUUACAUUCAUUGUAUAUAACAAUUGAAGAAGCUAAUAAUGUUUUUCAACAUUGUUUAGCAUGUAGCAAGCUUUGUUUGACUGUAUACUCUCAAUACUGCAUUUGUCAAUUAUGCAGUUAUCAUUAGUUCAACUUUUUGAAUAAACAAUUAUCUUCUACUCUACACUUUGAAAAAAUAGAUCUUUCUUUUAGUAUCUAAAUUUGCUCCGUUCAUGAUAAAUUUACAUAUAAAUUGUAUUGUCAUUCGUAAUGCUCUGUUUUUUCACUUAAACAUUGUUUAUCAAAAUUGAAGCUAUAAAAUAUUUCAUAUAAUUUUCAAUCCCGCAACAACGCGCGGGUACAAAUUUCUAGUAUCUUUCUAUUCGUCACGCAAGAACCUAGGGAUUUAACUGAAAUAGCAAACACUUUCCCCUCAGCUCUUCUUCUCCGUAAACCCUUUCUCCCUCCGACAGCCGUCUCUUUCACUAAAUCUCUGUCACCCUCUCACCCCCUCACCCUCUUGCCACCUCAGACUCUCUCUUCCUCCUCCGACAGCCGUAUCUUUGAGAUAUAUGCACAAUUUUAGGAUUAUUUUGUGCUUUGAUUAUAAUUAGGGUUGUAAUCUUCUUUGAUUUUGUAUAUGCACAGCAUGGGAAUGAUUAAUGACCUCGAUUGGGGUUCUAAUCUAGAUUGGGAAUGAAUCUAUGCAGAUGGUCAUAUAUAAAAAUUAUUUUGAUUUUUUAGUAAUUUUGUUUGUAUGCUCAUAAUGUAAACUGGGUUCUUAUCAGAUUGUAUAGUUCCAUUAUGUUUGUAAUUUAUUUCUUUUUGCUGAUUACUUAGCUGGGUUUUCCUUAAAUUACAUAAUCUGUUACCUUUAUUUCUCUGCUAGGUGCUGAUUAUUUUAACUGGAUUUUCAUCUGAUUUUUUAUCCAUUUUUUAUUUUAGUUUUCUGCUUGAUUUGUUUUAAAAGUUUACCGUUAUCAGAGGAUGAAUAUUUACUUUUUUAUUGCUUUUUCUGUUUGAUUUGUUUAAAUGUUGCUGGGUUAUUGACCAAAAAAAAAAUGUUGCUGGGUUUUCAUCGGAUUUUAUAAUCCGUUUUCUAUUUUGCUUUGUUCAUAAUGGCAAAGGAGAAGUUCUUAGGUAGUGAUUGGGUUGUAUAGUGUGUGUGGUGGGAGGGAGAGGGAGAUCCAUAGGAUUCUUGGUGCUGGUUUGAUUCCUUCAGUUGACAAAACAAUAGGAAACUUGUGUAAAUUAGAGAUUCAAACUUUGGUACAUAAAGUUAAGCACUGUUUUGGCCAACUCAAGUUUGCAACUAAAGAACCUAAAUUUGAAGGAUAAAGGGUGUAAAAGGAAUUUGAGUUUCAGAGAAUGUUUGAAAUAUGUAUUGUAUUUGGUCAUAUUCAUGGAAGGGAUUUACUUACCAUCUAGUGCCAUUGAUCUGCUUUGACAAAUAUAAGCUGGAUGUUCUAAGUUUGUACGUUCCUUCAGUUUUCUAAAUUUGCAUAUUCCUUAGACAAUAUGGUUGAUUUGUCAAUUUCUAUUGGUAUUUGUCCUGUGAAUUGUUGUUGGUUCUUAUAGAUGGUAGUCCCAUUUGACAUGAUAUGCAUUGCAGCAAGAGAGUAGAAAUGAUACUCCUUGCUCCUAUAGGGAACUGCACGGUUGAAGGUUUCAUACUCUCCAAACAUCAUUUCCAUGGAGAUGCCACAGAUGCGUCUCACUGUUGUUCACUGUCAUAGUGUUUGCAUUCUGCAAUAUAAUAUGCACCGUGCUAUUGAACCUCACCCGGUAUAUCCCAUUGCUUGAAGUAGCUUUUACAUUCUUAGCAACGUUGUAUAUGUCGUAGUUCUCGAAGUUGUAGUUUUACAGAGGAAGGUUGUGGUCGAAAACGUAGUUUGGGUUUACAUUUCUUUUAGGGCUACUAAGUAAGGUGUGUGGGGAAGAGAGAAAGAUACAUUGUUUAAGGACCAUCUUGUUUUGUGUGUUGAGAAGCACAAUCACUUUGUUUGAAGUGUGAGGAGUGUGAGUGAAAUUUUUGUGGGCUUUGAGUGAAAGACUUUGUGCCAAUCUUUGUGCAGUUUCGUUCCAUAGGGGGCCUGUGGUUGGAAGAGUUGGAGGAAAUUUCUUGGGGUAGUUUGGAUAGUAAGUGAGGAUUGCUAGGCCCGUUGGGGUUGAAGGUUUCCGACUGUUUCUAGUUAUCCAGUAGCUUCUUGAUGGGUUUUGGUUUGCCUUUACCAGGACAAAAUAGGUCUUGCCGGAGUAAAUGCAUAGGUUUUAGGUCUCAAAUGGCUCGACAUAAUGCGCAUCGGCUUCAAUAACAGUCAUAUUGUGACCCUGCAUAGCAUUUUAUUUUGUCGCUAAUAAAUACAAGCUUUAAUUUUUUUUUAACAUAAUUGGAACUAUUAGGGUGCGUUUGUUGCACCGGACUAUCUUGGAUUGGACUAACUUCAGGGACUAAGCUGGACUGGCUUAGACUAGACUAAGCUGGACUGAUUUAAUGAAGCGUUUGAUGUAGUGUCGGACUAAGAAGCAGGAUAACUAUUAAAUUUAGAUACUAUAUUUUGAUCAUACUUAUUUCAUAAAACCCAUAUCACACUUAUUUCAGAUAACCCUCAAUUAACAUUUUAAAAUUAAUCAAGAAAAUAUGUAAUAAACCAUGUAUAAACUUUAUCAAAUAUAUACCAACUCAGACGAUUCCAAAGAUCUACCAAAAAGUAAAAUAAGAAAUAUAGACACCAAAAAAUCAAACAUCCAAAGAUCAAUGGCAGAACACCAGUAAUCAAAUAGCAGAACACUAGGAAUCAAACAGACAAAGCAUUUGUUCACAACAACAACAACAACAACAACAAAGCCUUUUCCCACUAAGUGGGGUCGGCUAUAUGAAUCCUAGAACGCCAUUGCGCUCGGUUUUGUGUCAUGUCCUCCGUUAGAUCCAAGUACUCAAGUCUUUUCUUAGGGUCUCUUCCAAAGUUUUCCUAGGUCUUCCUCUACCCCUUCGGCCCUAAACCUCUGUCCCGUAGUCACAUUUUCGAACCGGAGCGUCAGUAGGCCUUCUUUGCACAUGUCCAAACCACUGGAACUGAUUUUCUCUCAUAUUUCCUUCAAUUUUGGCUACUCCUACUUUACCUCGGAUAACCUCAUUCCCAAUCUUAUCCUUUCUCGUGUGCCCAUACAUCCCACGAAGCAUCCUCAUCUCCGCUACACCCAUUUUGUGUACGUUGAUGCUUCACUGCCCAACAUUCUGUGCCAUACAACAUCGCUGGCCUUAUUGCCGUCCUAUAAAAUUUUCCCUUGAGCUUCAGUGGCCUACGACCGUCACACAACACGCCGGAUGCACUCUUACACUUCAUCCAUCCAGCUUGUAUUCUAUGGUUGAGAUCUCCAUCUAAUUCUCCGUUCUCUUGCAAGAUAGAUCCUAGGUAGCGAAAACGGUCACUUUUUGUGAUCUUCGCUAGAUUGCUCCGGUCAUUAGUGUGGAUAAGUAUAUAAAUGGAUAGAGAUAGGAAAGCAAACACAAGAUGUAUGUGGUUCACCCAGAUUGGCUACGUCCACGGAAUAGAGGAGUUCUCAUUAAUUGUGAAGGGUUUACACAAAAGCAAACACAAGAUGUACGUGGUUCACCCAGAUUGGCUACGUCCACGGAAUAGAGGAGUUCUCAUUAAUUGUGAAGGGUUUACACAAGUACAUAGGUUCAAGCUCUCCUUUAGUGAGUACAAGUGAAUGAUUUAGUACAAAUGACAUUAGGAAAUAUUGUGGGAGAAUGAUCUCGUAGCCACGAAACUUCUAAGUACCGGAGUGUGGUAUCGUCUUGACUUGCCUUAUCUGUCUCAUAGGUAGAUGUGUGGCAUCUUCUCUGGAAGUACUCUUCCUCCAUCCAGGGGUGGUAUCUGUAACUGGUGGAGAGAUGCACAAGGUAAUGUAUCAAUUUCACUUGAAGCUUACUUGUAGUUUCAGGCUUGGUCAAGCGCGAUACAAACCAUGUAGUAGGAGUCCCCCAAGUCGCCGAGCUAGGGGAUCUGCUGAAAGAGGUGACAGACAAGGUAAGCAAUCAGAGCUCCGGCUGAUUGUUCACAUUCUCCCUAUCUUGCAGGCAGCAUGAAGGAUAAAGAGAAGAAAAAUGAGGAGAGAUGAUAUGGGAUACUUUUGCUUUUGAAGAAGUAACUUUCCACAGGCUUAUUCUUGAACUGGGCUGGAGGGUUUUCUGGUUUCCUCCAGAGUAUAAGGCCGACUGAAGAAUUUGAGGGUCAAAACAAGUCCAUCAAAUCUAGAGUACGUUCGACCCUGCUGAUAUGGGAUACUUUUUGCUUUUGACAGAGUAGUGGAUGUAUCGGCACGUGUGCUGUUACGCUUGUCUCCACAUGCUUCCUUGUAUCCUUCUCACUUGCCCUAUUUGUUCCUCAGGCAGAUGCGGUAUCUUCCCUGGAAGCAUAAGAUGUUGAAGAUGAGUACUCGAGAGCAAUGCCAGGUAAGUAAUCAGGUAAGGGGUUCCAGGCAGUCAGUUCCUGGCUGGAAGCUUGAUUCCAAGUGCUGACUGAUUGCUCUCUUUCUCCUUGUCUUGCAGGUAAGAACAAGGCCAAAGGAAAAGACAGGGAAAAAGCAUGAUAUGGGAUACUCUUGCUUUUAACCCUGAUGAUAUGAGAUAUUCUUGCUCUAGUAUAGCUUGUUUACAGAGGUAUUAUCGGGGGGAAAGAAAGCUGAAUAUUUCGAAAGGCUUCGUUGGGAGUGCCCUCUCAGAUAGAGAAAGGGUUGAGCAUUUUUGCAGGUCUGCCUGUCCGUUGGGGAUGGAGGUCGACAUAUAUAGGAGUCUCCCUAACAUCAAGUAAUAAUGCUAUUCCUUUACCCUGCUUGGUUAUAGCACGGUAGUGGGAGCUGCCAGCUUCACAUGUUUUAACUCUGUCAGAGCACUUUGAAAAGUGGUAUGUGGUAUCUGGAAAGCUGAUGUUGCGUGUGAAGAUUACAGACAAGCUUUAUCCAAGGAGAUCCAGCUCUUGAAGUUGGGAAAGUGGUGCCUCUUUCGAUUUUUCGAACAAGCAAUACUGUCGGGGAUCUGGCUCUCGAGAUUCGGAGAACGAUGCCUCUUCGAUUUUUGAGAAAGCAAUCCUGCUGGGGGUCUGGCUCUCGAGAUUCGGAGAGCGGUGUCUCUUCGAUUUUUGAGAAAGUAAUCAUGUUGGGAGUCUGGCUCUCGAGAUUCGGAGGGCGGUGCCUCUUCGAUUUUGGAGCAAGCAAUCUUGUUGGGAGUGUUUUCUCGAAUGUGAGUAAAGGUUGGGACGUGUUUGCUAGUCUACCUUGCCACGAAGCACAGAGGUUGACACACAGGGACUUUCCAAUUAUCCAGCAGUGGUACUGUUCCUUUACCUCUCUUCGAUUUUUGAGAAAGUAAUCAUGUUGGGAGUCUGGCUCUCGAGAUUCGGAGAGCGGUGCCUCUUCGAUUUUGGAGCAAGCAAUCUUGUUGGGAGUGUUUUCUCGAAUGUGAGUAAAGGUUGGGCAUGUUUGCUAGUCUACCUUGCCACGAAGCACAAAGGUUGACACACAGGGACUUUCCAAUUAUCCAGCAAGUGGUACUGUUCCUUUACCCUCUCUUCGAUUUUUUUUGAGAAAGUAAUCAUGUUGGGAGUCUGGCUCUCGAGAUUCGGAGGGCGGUGCCUCUUCGAUUUUGGAGCAAGCAAUCUUGUUGGGAGUGUUUUCUCGAAUGUGAGUAAAGGUUGGGCAUGUUUGCUAGUCUACCUUGCCACGAAGCACAGAGGUUGACACACCGGGACUUUCCAAUUAUCCAGCAGUGGUACUGUUCCUUUACCCUUGUGGGUAAUAAUAUGGUAGCUAGACCUUCAAAAUUUAUGUGUCUAAACUUUGUUAGUGCUGUUUCUUUGCUAUUCUUUUACCCUUCUUGGUCAGAGCGAUGUAGUGGGAGCUGCAAGCUUCACGUAUCUCAACUUUGUCAGAGAACUUUGGCAAAGUUAUCUGUGGUACCCAUGAGCUACUGUUGCGUGUGGGAAGUGGGUGAUUGAACAGUACGAUUCAUGUGCUUUUCUACUUCCCAGAAAUCUUCGACAGAAUGCCCAUAAUUUCCGCAAAGCUGAGUGUGCGUGUGACAGGUGCUGACAAAGUAGUGCCUCUUCGAUUUCUGAGAUCAGCCCUCGUGGUCUCUGAGCAGCCCAGCUUUUGAGAAAGCAAGCCUCUUCGAUUUCUGAGAUCGGCCUUCGUGGUCUUCGAGCAGCCCAGCUUUUGAGAAAGCAAACGCCUCUUCGAUUUCUGAGAUCGACCCUCGUGGUCUCUGAGCAGCCCAGCUUUUGAGAAAGCAAACGCCUCUUCGAUUUCUGAAGCUUCGUCGAGUGCAGAUUUUUUAUAGGGGCUGGACAUUAAGUUCCAAAGCACACUUGAAUCUCCACCAGUAGAAGCUCCAUUCUUGCACUUCUAAGAUCUUGAUUUGUCCGACCUCUUCUCUCUUCAACACCUUUGAAAAUGUCUGGCCCCUCCGACCGUCGUUUUGACUUGAACCUUGUUGAAGAGGCAGCCCCGCCUUCUCCAGACAACAUAUGGCGCCCAUCCUUCGUCUCCCCUACUGGUCCUCUUACCGUUGGGGAUUCCGUGAUGAAGAAUGAUAUGACCGCUGCGGUGGUGGCCAGGAACCUUCUCACUCCCAAAGAUAACAGACUACUUUCCAAACGGUCUGAUGAGUUGGCUGUUAAGGAUUCUCUGGCUCUCAGUGUUCAGUGUGCAGGUUCUGUGUCUAAUAUGGCCCAACGCCUAUUUGCUCGAACCCGCCAAGUUGAAUCAUUGGCGGCUGAAGUGAUGAGUCUCAAACAGGAGAUUAGAGGGCUCAAGCAUGAGAAUAAACAGUUGCACCGGCUCGCACAUGACUAUGCUACAAACAUGAAGAGGAAGCUUGACCAGAUGAAGGAAUCUGAUGGUCAGGUUUUACUUGAUCAUCAGAGAUUUGUGGGUUUGUUCCAAAGGCAUUUAUUGCCUUCGUCUUCUGGGGCUGUACCGCGUAAUGAAGCUCCAAAUGAUCAACCUCUGAUGCCUCCUCCUUCUAGGGUUUUGUCCAGUACUGAGGCUCCGAAUGAUCCCCUCCGGUGCCUUCUCUUUCUGGGGCUCUACCGACUGCUGAGACUUCUCCUAAGCAACCUUUGUGAAAGGCUCCCUCUUGUUUGUUUAUUUUGACUCAUGUAUAUGUACAUAUUUGUAACUUAUCGGGGAUAUCAAUAAAUAAGCUUUCCUUCAUUUCAACGUAUUGUGUUAAAUACACCAAAGCCUUCUUCGCUAAGUUCUUUGAAUUUUCUUUUGUUGAAGCUUGUAUGUUGAAGCUUUGUGAGUGGAGCAUGUAGGUUGAGGUAGUGUUCCCUUAAUUUCCCGAGUGAGGAAAACUUCUUGGUUGGAGACUUGGAAAAUCCAAGUCACUGAGUGGGAUCGGCUAUAUGAAUCUUAGAACGCCAUUGUGUUCUGUCCUGUGUCAUGUCCUCGUUAGAUCCAAGUACUCUAAGUCCUUUCUUAGGGUCUCUUCCAAAGUUUUCCUAGGUCUUCCUCUGCCCCUUCGGCCCUGAACCUCUGUCCCAUAGUCGCAUCUUCUAAUCGGAGCGUCAGUAGGCCUUCUUUGCACAUGUCCAAACCACCGUAACCGAUUUUCUCUCAUCUUUCCUUCAAUUUCGGCUACUCCUACUUUACCCCGGAUAUCCUCAUUCCUAAUCUUAUCCUUUCUCGUGUGCCCACACAUCCAACGAAGCAUCCUCAUCUCCGCUACACCCAUUUUGUGUACGUGUUGAUGCUUCACCGCCCAACAUUCUGUGCCAUACAGCAUCGCCGGCCUUAUUGCCGUCCUAUAAAAUUUUCCCUUGAGCUUCAGUGGCAUACGGCGGUCACACAACACGCCGGAUGCACUCUUCCACUUCAUCCAUCCAGCUUGUAUUCUAUGGUUGAGAUCUCCAUCUAAUUCUCCAUUCUUUUGCAAGAUAGAUCCUAGGUAACGAAAACGGUCGCUCUUUGGUAUUUCUUGAUCUCCGAUCCUCACCCCUAACUCGUUUUGGCCUCCAUUUGCACUGAACUUGCACUCCAUAUAUUCUGUCUUUGAUCGGCUUAGGCGAAGACCUUUAGAUUCCAACACUUCUCUCCAAAGGUUAAGCUUUGCAUUUACCCCUUCCUGAGUUUCAUCUAUCAACACUAUAUCGUCUGCGAAAAGCAUACACCAAGGAAUAUCACCUUGAAUAUGUCCUGUUAACUCAUCCAUUACCAACGCAAAAAGGUAAGGACUUAAGGAUGAGCCUUGAUGUAAUCCUACAGUUAUGGGAAAGCUUUCGGUUUGUCCUUCAUGAGUUCUUACAGCAGUCUUUGCUCCUUCAUACAUAUCCUGUAUAGCUUGGAUAUAUGCUACUCGUACUCCUUUCUUCUCUAAAAUCCUCCAAAGAAUGUCUCUUGGGACCCUAUCAUACGCUUUUUCCAAAUCUAUAAAGACCAUGUGUAAAUCCUUUUUCCCAUCUCUAUAUCUUUCCAUCAAUCUUCGUAAGAGAUAGAUUGCCUCCAUGGUUGAGCGCCCUGGCAUGAACCCGAAUUGGUUGUCCGAAACCCGUGUCUCUUGCCUCAAUCUAUGCUCAAUGACUCUCUCCCAGAGCUUCAUUGUAUGACUCAUUCAGCUUAAUACCCCUAUAGUUCAUGCAAUUUUGUACAUCGCCCUUAUUCUUGUAGAUAGGCACCAAAGUGCUCAUUCGCCACUCAUUCGGCAUCUUCUUCGUUUUCAAAAUCCUAUUGAAAAGGUUAGUGAGCCAUGUUAUACCUGUCUCUCCCAAAACUUUCCACACUUCGAUUGGUAUAUCGUCUGGGCCUACUGCUUUUCUAUGCUUCAUCUUCUUCAAAGCUACACCCACUUCUUCCUUCCGGAUUCUACGAUAAAAAGAGUAGUUUCUACACUCUUCUGAGUUACUCAACUCCCCUAAAGAAGCACUCCUUUCAUGUCCUUCAUUGAAAAAAGAUUAUGAAAAUAACUUUUCCAUCUGUCUUUAACCGCGUUCUCUGUAGCAAGAACCUUUCCAUCCUCAUCCUUGAUGCACCUCACUUGGUUUAGGUCCCUUGUCUUCUUGUCCCUUGCUCUAGCUAGUUUAUAGAUAUCCAACUCUCCUUCUUUGGUAUCUAGUCGCUUAUACAUAUCGUCAUAAGCCGCUAACUUAGCUUCUCUCACAGCUUUCUUCGCCUCUUGCUUCGCUUUUCUAUACCUUUCACCAUUUUCAUCGGUCCUAUCCUUGUAUAAGGCUUUACAACAUUCCUUCUUAGCCUUCACCUUUGCUUGUACCUCCUCUCAUUCCACCACCAAGAUUCCUUUUGGUGUGGGGCAAAACCCUUGGACUCUCCUAAUACCUCUUUUGCUACUUUUCGGAUACAACUAGCCAUGGAAUCCCACAUUUGGUUAGCUUCCCCCUCUCUAUCCCACACACACUGGGUGAUUACUUUCUCUUUGAAAAUGGCUUGUUUUUCUUCUUUUAGAUUCCACCAUCUAGUCCUUGGGCACUUCCAAGUCUUGUUCUUUUUUCUCACUCUUUUGAUAUGUACAUCCAUCACCAACAAGCGAUGUUGAUUAGCCACGCUCUCUCCUGGUAUAACUUUGCAAUCCUUACAAGUUAUAUGAUCCCCUUUCCUCAUUAGAAGAAAAUCUAUUUGUGUUUUUGACGACCCACUCUUGUAGGUGAUCACAUGUUCUUCUCUCUUCUUAAAGAAGGUGUUGGCUAAGAAGAGAUCAUAUGCCAUUGCAAAAUCCAAGAUAGCUUCCCCAUCCUCGUUUCUCUCCCCAAAACCAUGGCCACCAUGAAAACCUCCAUAGUUGCUUGUCUCCCUGCCCACGUGUCCAUUUAAAUCUCCUCCUAUAAAUAACUUCUCUGUCUGAGCAAUUCCUUGCACCAAGUCUCCAAGGUCUUCCCAAAAUUUCUCCUUCGAACUCGUAUCCAACCCUACUUGAGGUGCGUACGCACUAAUCACAUUGAUAAGUUCUUGUCCUAUUACAAUCUUGAUUGCCAUGAUUCUAUCUCCUACCCUCUUGACAUCUACAACAUCUUGUGUCAAGGUCUUGUCCACGAUGAUGCCAACACCGUUUCUCGUUCUAUUUGUGCCCGAAUACCAUAGUUUAAACCCUGAGUUUUCUAGAUCCUUUGCCUUACGACCAACCCACUUAGUUUCUUGUAGGCACAUAAUAUUUAUCCUUCUCCUCACCAUAACUUCUACUACUUCCAUAGAUUUUCCCGUCAAGGUUCCUAUAUUCCACGUUCCUAAACGCAUUUUGCUCUCUUGAACUCUACCCUUCUGUCCUAGCUUCUUCACCCUUCCCCGUCUAAUAGGAUCAAAGUACUUCUUUUGUGUGUCCCGUGUAAAGUUGAUAGGAGCAUAUGCUCCCAAACAACUUUGAGUGGAGUCGUUCGAAAAGAAGUUUCUAUAGCCCCCUUGCUCAUUUAACACUGCAUCCGGGUGCCGAUGGAGAUACAGCGACCCUUGCUCACUUAUCACUGUGCUCAGGCCACACAGCGCGCCACUUACGGGUGACGCCCUAGCUUUAGCGCGAUUUCGUUCUGGAUUCAUUUUCAUAAGGAUUCGACGUGAUCAUGGAAUCCCCAAAGAUGAAUCAGAAAGAAUCCCCAAAGACUACAAGACGAAUCUCCCCUCUCUUGCUGCAAGAUGAAUCCCAAUUUGCAAGACGAAUCUCUCCUCUCUCGCUUCAAGACGAAUCUGCAAUUUGCGUGACGACGAAGAAAAGUAGGAUGGUGGGGAUGUCGGUGCAAAGAGGAGAGAAGCAGACUAGAGGUGAAUUGAACAGUUGUCGGAGAAGAGGAGUGGGGUGGGUGGGGCUGUCGGUGCAAAGAGAAGACAGAAACAAACGAAGCAUAUGAAGAAGACGAAACGAAUCAGACGAAGUGAAGCGAGCGAAGCGAGAAGGGGCUUAGCAGUCCUCUCGUAUUUGGGGGGGUCUCGCUAAGACCUUCUAACGAAGGUGUUAGUCGAGACGAGUCCCACUUAAUACCAUUAAAGGUAAUCCCUCCCUGUAACAAACACAAGACUAGACUGACUUUUAGUCCAGUCUAGUCUAGUGAGACUUAACGAAGGGAAACAAACACACCCUUAGAGACUUGGUGAGUAUUGAGUUAUAUUUACCUUAAUUUGAAAACUUAGAGCUGAUAGAGAGGUCAAGCUACCAAUCCUUAAUGGGUAUAUUUUUCCAGGGAUUACUGUCAGAAUAUAGGGAGAACAGUCGGGAUUUGUCGCGUUACAGACCCCGACUUCUAGGCUAGGAGUCUCUAGUAGAGAGCAGUUGAAUCUCCAUCUUCCAUUAAUCAGAAGUGAUUGCAAAGCUAACGGAAUGUACAUUAAGUUUAUAAAACAUGGGCAACGUAUUCUGUAAAAUGAUCUCUACUUUUGUUCUUCAAGUUAGGAAACAACCUUUCCAAUAUUUAUGUUGUUUUCAGGGGAAAAGUGAAACAUGGUGAAUAGUUAGAAACACAAAAAGGAACCUUUCAAGUGGAAUAAAUGUUUCAUUCUUCAGAGACUCUGUUGUUGGUCCUCGCUUUUCAUGUUUAUAUGACCUUCUUUUUAGAAAGUGCGAUAUCAACUACCAUCAGUGUUUUGCUACACGAGGGAUAGGGUAGUAUUACAAAUUCAGUUAUGAAAAUAAACUCUUGAAAUAAUUUGUUCUUGUAAAUAGUGUAGAGAAGAUGUUACCUUAAAUAAUAAUCUAAUUAGCCUUUGUUUGCCGUUUCAGUUACAAAAUAUGUGUGUGCGCGCGCUCGCGCGCAUUAUGGAUCUUUAUGUGGGGCAGAACAUAUAUAUGCAUUGACUUUUGUUUUCCUAAUUGGGCAGAUGUCGUAGCUUAUUAGAAGUCGUAAGGUGGUGACGACUGCAACUUGUUCGAUUGCCCCGCCUCCUACUUCAGUCGCCACUGCUCCAGCAUAAAUGGAGCCCAGGCUGGUUAAUCCGGUUGAUGUGGUUGAUCCAGUUGCUUCCCGAGUCUCCCAGGAGUUGGCAUCAUCAGCCUCUUGAGUGGUGCUACCUAUUGGCGCUAGGCGUGGUCACCGCCGCCCCUGCACGCCUAACAGGAUAUCGGCAUCCACUACUGAUGUCUCGGGGUCCCACAAGGUAAACAUGUGAUAAACACUGAUAACUGAUUUUUUUUCUAUAGUGCCUUGAUAUUGGAUUGCCUAAUGAUGUUGGGAGGGUGGUCAUUAGUUCUUUGUAGGAAACAACGUGUCUCUGAAAAUGUUUGUACUUAGGUAAGUAGAAGUAUAAGGUGUAAAGCUAAUAAUUUAGUGUUCUCUGCAUGUCCAUUAUAUAAAGGAUUCUCAUCUAAAUGAUCAUGGUAAGCGUUAGGCCAUUAGUCUUCAAGUAUUGAAGCAAUUCAUAACAGCAUUUGAAUUUGCUACUUAAAUUCCUAGGUUCUACUAUGUGGCAUCCACUACAGAAGCAUUCAACUAUUGUGAUUGUUGUUGGAUAUCAUAUAUAAUUCAUUACAAUGUCCAGGGUUUGGGAAAUGUUAUAACUUUAGGGGAAGUUUUGCCGAAAUUUCGAUACAAUUUGUAGUGUUUGUUUGACUUUUUUUUUUAAUUUUUUUUUCAACAAAGAAAAAUACUCGGGGACCUUGUCGUCAGUUGAAGACUUCGAACGUCACGUCAUUGGUUACAUCGUUUGGACCUAUUGCCCUAUGCGAUGAAAGUCUUGGAAGGCGAUGCCAGACGAGGUGAAGAUGAAGGUGCGCGAUUAUUUGUCGAUAAGUAUCCUGGCAUUUUAUUGAUUUUCCCUUAAAGUUUAUAUAUUUAUAUUAAUUAAUGAUAUGUACUUAUUUUGUGUUACAUUGUAGAAAAACUACGAUUUCGACGACAUCAACGACGAUAUGUUGGCGUACGUCAACAUUGAAUGGUACAAGCAGUGGAAGAGCAACCUGCACCAAUAUUUUCAGACAUUUGAUGAUCUGCAGGUGAUCGGAUCAUAUUUAUAUAUAUUUUUACUUCGAAUUCACUCGUCUUUUCUUAGUUAGUUCCUUAUAUUUUUGAGCUAUUUACGUUAUUUUUGUGUUUAUAGGAUUUGUUAUGCAAAGAAAAUAAAAAUAGAACAAAUGAAAUUUUAUGUAAUAAAUUCGUCAAAACUGUCUGUGUAGAUCAGCUUUUAAAUUAAAUUAAAAAAAAAUAUAUAAUAAUGAUAAAUCAUGAUGAUGUUUGAAACAUCAUCAUGAUGGUUUUGUUUUGUAGAAGAAAAGAAAGGAACGGAUGGAGAAGAAGAAAGAAAGGAAUAAAAAAAGAAAAGAAGGAAUAAAAAAAAUUAAAAGAAGAAUAAGUGAGUCCACACAUGAGGGAUCCAAAGAAAGAUAUACGAAAGAAGAAGAAAAAGGAGAAUCCAAGGCGUGAAAGGGAUAGAGGCGGGAGACAGAGAAGACUUGAAAAAGUGGGAAAUAAAAAUAAUAAGAUAGAGAGGAGAAAGCAGCUGGCAGAGACGAAAUUGGGGGGGGGGGAGAGAUGGAGCUGCCUUUGGCAGCACGGGGUCAGAGAGGAUAGAGAUACGUGAGGGAAGCAAAUAAGAAAGAAGAAAGAAAAAAAAGGUGAGGGACUGACAGAAAAGCAGAGGGCUGCCCUUUGGGCAGCGUGAGGCUGCGCAGAAAUAAAAGGGACAGUUCGGCAUGGCAGGAGAGAAGUGACGCAGGGAGUGAGGGCAGAAGCACAGAAACGCAGCAGAUCUUAUUCUCUCGGUUAAAUCUUUCCAACUUAUGAUUAAUUUUUGGUUUAAUUUUAGAAUAAUGUGUAGCUAAAUUUAUUUUGGCUAGAGGUUAAUUCAAAGCCAUGAAAUAUAUUUGUAAUAUGAAUUGAUUACCUUCAGUUGUGAUUUCUGAGUUGUGAUUUAAUUUUCUUAACUGCUUGAUUGAUAACUUAUUUUUGUAUGUCGAUUAAGGAUGCAUACUUAAUUUACAUGCAUGAAUUUGAUGCUAGAAUAUAAGUGAAUUUCACCUAAUCGUUAUGAACUUAUAUUCACAAGUAGUGAAGGUUGUUAUCCACAAUCGUGUUAAGUGAAUUCUUGGCAAGGGUAUCAUGCUUUUCAUAGUUACGAAUGCCUCGUCAAUGCUUAUAGUUUUCACAAAGUUUAAUGAUCUUUGAUUGUAUCUCUAUUGUGCUUUUCACGUAGGGGACUUUUGAAGAAUGUUUUGAAUUGUUGUAUGCGUUUUCCCGUCCAAUUCAAUAACUUAAGGAAAACUUGAAGAUUAAAAAAAGUGUUGUUCACGGUUAAUCUGAAGUGUUGAGAUUCACAACUUAUUGAAAGAACAACUGAAAAUCAAUUUAGGUUGCAUAUGUGUCAUGUGUAGAGAAGAACCCUCUAGCUAAUCCAUCACCUAUCAUUUCACCUUAAUUUCAUGUUUUUGUCAAUUCUGUAAUUUAUUUAAGUUUAAUUUACUUCUCGUCAAAACCAAACCCCCCAUUAUUAAAUUAUUUUAUUUAGUUAGUUUUCAUUGUUGUUAGUCUUUUAAUUCAAUUUCCGUCCAUUGCAGUUCCUAGUGUCUAAUUUGAUUGUUUUCAUUAUUUUGAGUCAUCCUAAGUGUGUUUCGAGUUAUUAGAGUUUUUAGCCUAGUUUUGUGUCCUUGAGUCUUAUUUAAUAUUUUUAAAUUAAUUUAGAAUAGAUUAGCAAUCCCUCCUAAUCCCCGGCCUAGAACGAUACCCUACUUACAUCCAUACUACAAUUGUCAAAAAGAGGGUUUAAUUUGUGUGUCAAGAAAUUCUCACAUCAAAUUUUGGCGCCGUUGCCGGGGAUUAGCAACUUUGCUAAUCCUUUUAUUUUUGUUUUUGUUUAUGUUUAUAUUGGUGUUUGUGUAUUUUACUUUUGAUAUUUGAUUUAUUUUUCUUUCUUUGAUUUUAGGUUCAAAUGGAGCCGAGGGAAAUUUAAAGGAAAGAUGCGUCCGGCUAAAGACGUUAAAUCAAGCGCUUCUUGGGAGGCAACCCAAGCAUUCAACGAAGGGAGACUUUGGAAUCACUAACCCAAUCAGCUUUGCAUUCUUCCACCCUUAUCUUUACUGCUUUCAUUUUGUUUUGUUUAGUUAGUUGUGUUAUUUGGUUGAUUUCUGUGAGUUUGUGUUUGUGUUAUUUAGUUUAAGUGUGGGGGAAGGUUAACCAAAGUCUCUUUACAUUAAUUUACAUUUAAAAAGAAAAAAAAAGAUAAAAUUUAAAAUUAAUGAUAAAAAAAAAAAUACAUAAAAAAAAAAAUACAUAAAAAAAAAUAAAAAUUUAAAAAAAAAAAUUUAAAAAUUAAAAAAAAUAAAAUAAAAUAAAAUAAAAUAAAAAAAUACAAAUAUUUUACAAUGAUGUAAACUAAUAGUAUUCAUUGGUCGGGUGGUGCUUCAGUAGUAGGCGGGGCUUCAGCAGUCGGCGGGGCCACAGAAGGAGGAGGCAGCAGAGGUUGAUCAGUUGGAGCUUCACUACGCGGUGCCGCUCCAGAAGACGAAGGCAGAUGCGGUUGGAACAAACCCACAAACCUCCGAUGAUCAAGUAAAAUUUGACCAUCGGUGUCCUGCAUCUGGUCAAUCUUUCUCUUCAUGCUGGUGGCAUAAUUGUGUGCAAGCUUGUGCAAUUGUUUAUUUUCAUGCUUGAGUCCUCUAAUCUCCUCUUUGAGACUCUGUAUUUCAGCCACCAACGAUUCAACGUGACGGGUUCGAGCAAAUAGGCGUUGGGCCAUGUUGGACACGGAACCGGCACACUGCACGCUAAGAGCCAGAGACUCCUUAACCACCAAUUCAUCAGACCGUCUAGCGAGCAGUCUGUUAUCUCUUGGGGUGACAAGGUUCCGGGCCACCACCGCAGCAGUCAUGUCAUUUUUCAUAACCGAAUCCCCCACGGUAAGAGGACCGGUAGGGGAUAUGAAGGAUGGGCGCCAUAUAUUGUCUGGUGAAGGCGGAGCUGCCUCUUCACCAAUGUUCAAGUCAAAACGACGAUCGGAAGGGCCAGACAUUUUUCAGAGGUGGUGAAGAAAGAAGAGAGUCGGAAUGAUCAAGAUUAAACAAGUGCAAGAAGGGAGUGUUUACAGGAGGGUGCUCAAGUGUGUUGUGGAACAAGCUUAACGCCUCUAUAAAAAGAAGAAAUCGGAGAGGCGCUCCUCAGAGAAGCGUCCUCUCGCAAAUCGAAGAGUCGGGGCUCCUUUCUCAAAAGCCGGAUUCUUUUCUCAAAAGAGGCGUUUCAUUUCUUAAAGGCUGGGCUUGCUCAGAAACCACGAGCCGAACCCCGGAUUUCAAAAGAUUAAUUUGUCCAGACGUGUCGUCACUUGUCACACGUAAAUUGCUUUGCGAAAUUCUCGGGCAGUUUGUCGAAGCACCAAUUCAGAAAUCGAAGAGGGAAAUUCAACAGUCAAAGACACGCUAGCUUUCUCAAAAGCUGGGCUUCAACCCACGGGCAAAUCUUCUUUUCCAGAUUUAUCCGCACGUGUCACAUGCUACCUCUACAAUCGACGUUGCUCAGAGCUCGAAGCGCCGAUUCCAGAUAUCAAUGAGGAAUCUGCUUUGCGGAAAUUACGGGCAGCUUUGUCAGAAAAGCGCGUAAUUUGUACUAUUCAUCCAUCCACCGGCUGCCGACAAUGAGUGAGAGAAUAGUUUCGGUUGUGAAGAAAAGUUCCAUAAGUAUCUACCUUCGCCUUCCACAGCAAAGACACAACCUCUCAGCACUUCUUCAUCUCCGAAAAUGCAUUCCCAAAGAAUCCUCCUAAGUUACUCUGUGUUCCUCAUUCCUUGGGAUACUCCUGCGAACAACCCAUUCAAAGCAAAAGUAUUUCAUAUCAUGAAGGUUGAAAGCAAGAGUAUCUCAUAUCAUGCUUUCUCCCUGUCCUUUCUCCAGCCAGCACCUGCUCUCGAGUACUCAUCAUCUUAUGUUUCCGCUUCGUCUCUCACGUAUAAGGGAAGUGAAGAUGAUUCCUCGAAGCAUGUGGAGACAACGUGCUGAUUCAUCCUCAACUAGGGACAAGGAGAAAGAGAGCAAGAGGUGGGCACUUGGAAAGAUUGAAGAAAGAAACAGACCAACACCUCUCCCUCGUGCCUGCCCGCCGUGCUGAAGAAACAAGCAGAGAAGAAUGCAGCUCGUACAAUCAACCCAGCACAAGGAGUCCGAACUGAAGAACUAGAGAAGCUGCCACAUUUGCUUGGAGAACAAAUUAGGAACUGCAACAUAACCAAAGAGCAAAGCUUCGCCGUACAAUAUCAUAAAAUCAUCACUUGCAAGUGAAAAGCUAAGUGUCACCCUGUUCAAGAGGAAAGCUGUGGAAAGUCAACAAGCACGACCAAUGAUUACUUAUUAGUUUUAUUCAUUAUCUUUUAUCGUAAUUUUCAAUUUUUCGUUUGCAAUUUUUUUUUAAUUAAUUUUCUUGCGUACUUAACUGAAUUAUUUCUUUUCUUUGCAGGAACUUUUGGUUAUUUCCACCCUUGAAGUUGAUUGCAGAAUUUUAGCUUGGGGGUCAUCGCUUGAUUUUACUGCAAAUUAGGGAAGUUUUCAGUCCAAUUGCGUUAUUUUGUUUCUUAUUAUUUAUUUAUUUUAUUUUAUUUUUUUUUAUUUGCAUUAUAGUGUUUUCUGACAUUGGGGACAAUGUCAAGUUUAAGUGUGGGGGUAGAAAUCUCCAGAAUUUCAUUUGUCUCUGUGUUGUUGUUUUUUUGUGUUCUUAAUUAGUUUUGUUUUCUUUUAAAAAAAAAUUUAAAUUAAAAAAAAAUCGGAAAAUUUAAAAAUCCAAAAAUAUUGUCUUGUUUCCCUUAUUGUUUUGAAUUAGAUUUUUGUUAGUUUCCCGACCCAAUGAUAUAAUUGGAUCAAAUUUGAACCAUGAUCAUCAAGAACUUAGUUAACAUGUGUUUGGUGAAAUUCCUAAUUCUCUUGUUAGUUUUGUACAUGUUUGAUCAUCUUUGAAAAACCAAAUGCACAUAGCCUUGUUAAUGUGAAACUAAAGUAUGACUUAAAGCUUCAUAUGUGAAUUUAGUGACCAUAUACAUCCUAUGUGAGUUUUUGAGCCUAUUGAAAGUGUGUGCAUUUUUCAUAUACUCCUAUUCUUUCAUGUGUGAUGAACUUAUGUGAGAUACAUCUCUAGAACUUGCGUAACGAUCUUUCAAAAUGUUUGUCAUUGAUUGCAUAAACUUGGAAAUGAUAGAGGCAUUAGGUUUACCACCAUGGCCCAAAUAACCAUGUUUCCCAAAGAAAAAUGAUAUCAUUAGAUUGCCAAUUUGAGCCGUGUAUGUUGAGUCUUUUAUUUCUUAUCACCAGAUAUGUCUACCCUUAUACCUGAAACAUUUUUCCUUACCCUUUCCAAGCGAGCAAUGCGAGAUUGUCUUAUGAGAAAUGUUUGUGAAGUACUUUGAAGGUGUUUGGCAAAAGAAUAAGUGUGGGGGUAUUUCAUGUUUGUAUUAAAAAAAAAAAAAAAAAAAAAAAAAAAAAAAAAAAAAAAAAAAGAAAGAUUGUAUACGAAGAAAAUAAAAAGUUUUUAAAGUUUCAGUUUAAGGGUGUGAUUGGAGGUAUUAGAAGAAUUGUUGGAGAGCUUGAGUUCUUAUAAAUCUAAAGAAAAGAAUUGCUUACAAUGUAGCUUGGAACUUGUGUUUACCUAUUCUUUCAUUUCAAUAACCCUCUUCCUAAACCUCAUUACAUCCAAUAAAAGUCCUCUUGAUUUAAGUUUUGCAAUUAUGAUUGUGGAGAUGAGAUCUUUAUGCAAGCUUAUGGUAGAAAUUUCACAUUUGAUUCUUUGAGCGAAACACAUUAAAACUAAACACAUAUGUGAUUGAGUGUAUAUCCCGUGAGAAUGUUACUAGUUUGCAUAUGAUGAUUUUUAAAAAUAAAAACUUGAAAUUGCAUUAGCAUGGCUAUCUCACACACUACACUUCAAGGAUGAUUCAAAGAUUACUGCUAAUAUUUGAAUAAGGAGGAUGAACUUGGAUUAACUUGUUUGGUGCUAGCUAUGUUUCUUGAUGAUUUGUUUUCUUGAAUGAAAUUCUAUGAGGGUCACAUAGAGGGAAGCUAAUGUUUUUCAUGUUAUUACUUUUUCAUGUUUUCUUUGUUUUGCUCGAGGACUAGCAAAAGUUAAGUGUGGGGGUAUUUGAUCGGAUCAUAUUUAUAUAUAUUUUUACUUCGAAUUCACUCGUCUUUUCUUAGUUAGUUCCUUAUAUUUUUGAGCUAUUUACGUUAUUUUUGUGUUUAUAGGAUUUGUUAUGCAAAGAAAAUAAAAAUAGAACAAAUGAAAUUUUAUGUAAUAAAUUCGUCAAAACUGUCUGUGUAGAUCAGCUUUUAAAUUAAAUUAAAAAAAAAUAUAUAAUAAUGAUAAAUCAUGAUGAUGUUUGAAACAUCAUCAUGAUGGUUUUGUUUUGUAGAAGAAAAGAAAGGAACGGAUGGAGAAGAAGAAAAGAAAGGAAUAAAAAAAGAAAAGAAGGAAUAAAAAAAAUUAAAAGAAGAAUAAGUGAGUCCACACAUGAGGGAUCCAAAGAAAGAUAUACGAAAGAAGAAGAAAAAGGAGAAUCCAAGGCGUGAAAGGGAUAGAGGCGGGAGACAGAGAAGACUUGAAAAAGUGGGAAAUAAAAUAAUAAGAUAGAGAGGAGAAAGCAGCUGGCAGAGACGAAAUUGGGGGGGGGGGGGAGAGAUGGAGCUGCCUUUGGCAGCACGGGGUCAGAGAGGAUAGAGAUACGUGAGGGAAGCAAAUAAGAAAGAAGAAAGAAAAAAAGGUGAGGGACUGACAGAAAAGCAGAGGGCUGCCCUUUGGGCAGCGUGAGGCUGCGCAGAAAUAAAAGGGACAGUGCGGCAUGGCAGGAGAGAAGUGACGCAGGGAGUGAGGGCAGAAGCACAGAAACGCAGCAGAUCUUAUUCUCUCGGUUAAAUCUUUCCAACUUAUGAUUAAUUUUUGGUUUAAUUUUAGAAUAAUGUGUAGCUAAAUUUAUUUUGGCUAGAGGUUAAUUCAAAGCCAUGAAUAUAUUUGUAAUAUGAAUUGAUUACCUUC